ACAAAUAAAUAAAUAGUCAUAUGCGUAAACAAUUAAACAAAAACAUAAUAAUCUAUAAAGGUUGAAAUUAAAUGAAUGAAGGGUUAAAUCGAAAUUUAAAAUGAAAUUUAGGGCCUAGAUUAUAAUAAAAAUGACAAAUAAGAACUAAAUCGAGAUUAAAUAAGAUUAAAGGGGAUAAAUCGUAAAAAAUAAAAAAAAGGAGAGGGCUAAAACUGAACUCGCGAACGAAGAACGAGGAUCGAACGCGAAAUUAUUCCCCAAAUCCGUAAACGCACCGUUCCAAAAGGGAUUAAAAUAACAAGGAACUAAAAUCACAUGGCUAAAUUUUAAAUAAAUAAAAGAUAAUGGGACCGGAUUGAAGAAUCAGUAAAAACAAAAGGACCGGAUGUGUAAAUAUCCCCUUUGUGGGGAAAACACGCGAAUCUGGCCUGAAAACGGGUCAGGUCUUCGGGUGUGAUGCAAAACGACGCCGUUUUGGCACCUGAAACCAGGGCCCAAAACGACAUCGUAUGGCCCUCUUAUAAAAGUCAAAUUUCCAACAAAAAAUUCAUUCUUUCAACCCCCUAAAAAAAAAUUCAUUCUCUUUCUCUCCUUCUGGGCUAAACCCAGAAACUGGCCAAGAAGGCCACCGACGGUCGGUCGUCGCGCCACCGUGGCUCUACCGCCGUCGACCGCCAUGUACGAUGGCCGGAGCUCGAAAAGAAGCCUCUUUUUCAGCCAAUCGGAGAGUAGGUAAAAAAAUUCCGCUUUUUAUAUAUUUUGAUAUAUAUAGGUAUAUAAAAUAAUUUUGGGAAAAAUAAGAAGAAAAUAAAAACGAAAUAAAGAAAUACCCUUUUUGAACUUGAUUUCUUUGUUCGAUAACGAAAUAAAGAAAUACCCUUUUUGAACUUGAUUUCUUUGUUCGAUUUCCCUCUGUUUUUGUAUUUGAAUGCUUUUUUUUAUUUUGCUUGAAUCUCUGCUUUUUUAUUUAAAAAUCUCGUUUUCUUUAUUCAUUCUCUCUCUGAAAAAAUUACAUUUUUCUUCUGGCUAUUUAUAGCCGAAUACAAAAGUUUUUUGUCUAUUGUUUGCUACUGUCAUUGCUUCUGUUUGCCUCUGUUUCUUUGCCGUUUUGGUUUUCCUCUACAGGUUCGGCGUUCGAUCAACGAAGGCAGGUGGCCAUUUUGGUGUUAGCGUGCCAGGGGAGCCGACCCUCGAGCGAAGGACGUGCUGACGAGGCACGUGGGUGACAGUAGGGAGGCGCGGCGCUGAAGGGGAUUCAAAAACCCUAGGGUUUCUGAAUUGUUUUAGGCUAUUGGGCCUAUUGGGACAGUAGGAAUUAGGUUAGGGGUUCGGCCUUGAUAUGGGUUUGGUGAAAUUUGGGCUUUUGAUGUUGUAAAUGGACUUUAAUAAUUUUGGACUUUAUUUUGGUUGUUUUGUUUUUUUGGUUUCUAAUGGGCCGGGCAAAAUAGGCCUCUUACAAGAACUAAAUUGAUAAAAUUUGUAAAUGUGGAUGAUUCAAUUUGUUGAAUUAUUUAAAAUGAAGGUUGAUUUGAUAAAAUUUAUAAGUGUAUUAUAUGAAGUAAACUAUUUUCACUAACAAUUUAAUGAGAUGACCAAAACAAAAAUAAAUAAUAAUGUUAGUGAUAAAAUUGAAUUUUUUUUUAUAGUUGAAUGAUUAAAAUAAUAACACUCAGCUAAUUAUAUAAUUUACUUUUAGAAAGAUCAAACAAAAUAGGUGGGGGCAACCAUUUUACUCUUAAAACUACAUGACUUUCAAUGAUUUGUUGGGUUUGAAAAUUAUAGGACCUAACAAACAACAUUAACUUAAUAAAUUCUGCCUAAACAGAAAAUAAAUAAAUUGAUAAUAAAUAAAAUAUAUUAUAAAAUUAUAUAUAUAAAACAUCAACUAAUUAUCUAAUUUUAAUAUGAUGCAAUGACGUAUAGUAACUAUAAUCAAACCAAUAAUUCAUGAUAUUAUAUAUAGUUAACGAGUAUUUCAUAUUAAAAAUUGAUUUAAUAUCUGUAAAUAUUUUUCUUAUAUUAUAUAUAUUUUAAACUAUUGAAAAAAUCAAAAUGAUACAUCAAAUUAUGGCUGUAAUGGACCAAUUUAGCUCGGGCCCGUACAAACACAAAACACAAAAGAAAAAAUUAUUAUAAUAAAAAUAUUAUAUCAGUCCAAAUAUUACAACCCAUUUACAACAAAUAUUAAUAGUUCAUUGGCCCAAAAUAACCCUAGCCCAAUAUUACACAACAAAGUAGGCCCAAAUGGCCUGAGAGUUUGGCAACCACAGAAACCCUAGGUCACCCUCUCACGCCGCAACAGCUCCGCAGCAGCCUUCAGCCUCCAAGCGCUGUACGACCACCAGCAGCCUCCGUACGCGCCAGCUACCUCCUCCACGUUGCCUCUGUACCAGCAAAAGAAGACAAACAAAGGACAAACAUAACAGCAAAUACAAAAAAAUAUAGAAAAAAUUGUAUUUUUUUUAUUUUAUUUUGAUUUUCCUUUUCGGCUAUAAAGCCAAGAGAUUUCAUCAUUUGUAAAGGUUACGCACACUAUACGCAUACUGAAUACAAAGAAAAAAAGCAAUCAAAACUUUGAAAGGCGAUUUCAAGUGCUUCAUUUUUUUCUUUUUGAAUUUGUUCUAUUUUUUUUUCUAGGUUUUGCAUGUAAUUUUGAGCAUAAGGAAAUAAAAGGGAAGGCUUACCUUCGCGAAUGAGCCACUGGAAUCCUCGUCUCCUUCGCCGACAUCGAAGGUUGAGAGGGGAUUUUGAGGGCGAAACUGAUGAGCCUUGAGGCUAGGUUUUGAAUAAAGGGAUAAGGGGAACACUACUGUAGGCCAUCAUCCAUCGUUCAUAGUGGUAGAAUGAUGGUUAAACGGCGGACUGAAUGGGUGCAAACCUUACACUGUGUUUGGUUCGCCGUAUUACCCAAUCCAUUACGCCUCGAUUACGCGCGUAUUACAUUACGCCCCUAUUCCGGCGUUUGGUUUGCUGUAAUAGGUAUUACGCGUAUAUUACAAUACGCCCCUAAUCCCCAAAUUCCCGUGUUUUCCAAUCCCUUCCCAAAUCGCUGUAUUAGCUAUUACGUCCGGCCUCCCUCCCCAUUUCUCUGUUUUACCCUCCCUCCCUACCCGAUCCUCUCCUCUUCCGUCCUAAUCAGUUUCUCCUCCCAUUUUCCACUGCUUCCGUUGAUUAUUCUGUCGUCAUCACUUCCUUGUUAAAGCUUUACGUAAGUUUCAUUUACUAGAUGACCUUUUAAUUUGCGUAAGAAACUCUUUGAUCAUCUUAUUUCUCUUAUCAUGAACAUUUUGAGAUUAUUAAUAAUAGAUAGGGGCAAAUUUUUAUCAUGUGAUGCAAUUAUGUUUCUUCAUUUCUCUCUCUCUUCCUUUCCUCAACCUACUGUCUCCUUUUUUUCUUAUAUGUUUGUCAAGCAUUUGAUUGUGGCACAUGCUCUACUGUUGACGAUAGCUAGGAUGUUGUAUCCUGGCCAUUUGAACAAUUCUGUCUUGUGAUCAGUGGUACUUUGUGGAGCAAGGAAGCAUUUGGUUGCUCCACCAAAUUCUUCUAUCUUGUCAUCAUUUUCUAAGCACACACAAUAUGUAUACUGUUUUCCUGGAAGGCUUAUGAUUAAAUUAAUACUGAUAGGUAAGUUGUGCUGAUAUUUGCAGGUGGGUUGCAAACACAUUGGAUUUUAAUAAAACCUAUGAUGCCAGUGUUUUUGAGACAACCAUAAGGUUGCAUUUAACAAGUUUAUAUAUGUAUUAAUUGUUUUAUCAGGAAAAUUUUAUGAGUCAUGAUCCUUUUCCCCCUUCUGAAUAGUUUUUUUUUUUUUUUACCUUUUAAUUGACACUCAUAUUGUACUAAUUUGUCUUGUCUAUUCUAAUUGAAUAUUUAGAGUUGUAGGUGGACUUCUGAGCACAUAUGAUCUUUCAGGCGACAAUAUUUUCCUUGAAAAGGCUAGAGAUAUUGCAGAUAGAUUGCUACCUGCAUGGGAUACUCCUUUUGGGAUCCCGUAUAACAUUAUCAACUUGGCUCGUGGAAAUGCACAUAACCCUGGCUGGACUGGGGUAUGUUUUUUGCAUUGCUGCUGUUAGUCUUUAGUAUCUUUGAUGCUAUAGCAGUAAAAAGUUAUUUUAAGUUCUAUGAGUAAGCAAGGUGGCUGGGUCCUUGUUCUUUGUCUUCAACAACAUUUUGAAGACAUGAUGGAUCAUAUUUUGGUUAGAGUGGACUUAUGUAGAAGCAUUUAUUUAUCUGAUUCCUAUACUUGAGAUUGCUGCUCAACUGCAUUGACUUGAAAACUGUUAUUUGGUUAUCCAACAAAUACAAUCAGGCGCACUGGAGAUUAUUCUGUGUCUGUAUUUGACAAAUCAUUGUUAGGCCUUUCAUUAUCCUUUAUAUGGUAGUUUAUGUCAUUCCAUCAGUAGAAAAAUUACCUUCUAAGCAGUAACCACUACUAUGUGACUUGGGGGCUGGUACUUGAUAUUUAUUUUUUACAUAUACAUUAUUCAUUGAGUUUGAUUUUUUUUCACCCUUUAUUCCCUAGGGUGAUAGUAUUCUUGCAGAUUCAGGGACAGAGCAACUGGAGUUUAUUGCUCUUUCACAAAGAACAGGAGAUCCCAAGUAUCAGGAGAAGGUAAAUGCUUCUCAUGUUUAUUCAUGCUUAUGUUACCUAAUGUUUUUAUAAUUUUCAUGCUAGGAUUGCUUAAUCCAUUGAAAAAAGAGUGAAGCGUUUUUCGGGUCAUCACGUAGGAUCCAAUAUCGGGUGAGUUUUAAUUCUGACCUAAAUUAAUCUGCCAAUUGCAGUACAUGUAUCUCAAUGUUUUUCCCAAUUGUAAAUAACCCCUCUGCAUGCUUUUCUCUUUACUUUUUUAAGCGUAAUCGUCACCUUUAACUGUUACCUGUUUUAGUUCCUACAAGUUACACUGUGUAUUGGUUAUGCUUUCUAUGUAUAUAAUAUCAAAUCAUGAAUCCUCUCUGGCUUUGGCAUUAAUUUGAUGAUGUUAUGCAAGGGAAAUCUUGUGUAAAUUUCAAAGUGGUCUCUGGGGUAGUAUUGGGAACUCUAUUAGACUACAUCAUGUGAAGCUGGUUGUGUUGUUGUUUUUAAGCCUUUUUCGUAGCAGUAGUUUUUGUUUUAGAAGCCAAUGAGACCUUGGUUGUGUUAGCAAGGCAUUGAGCGCCCAUGUUCUAGUCGCCGUGUUGAAAAUUAUGCUUGGGAUAGUUCAAUUUAGAGCUCUUAAUGAUUGAUUUUGCUUGGAACUAUUGACGGUUGGAUUGUUGGUACGGGGUUGUGACUGAUUAAUUUCUGUUGAAAUUGCUAUUUUAUUUUAUUCAUUGUUGCUUAUUCCAUCGAGAUUAUUGUUAUUCUUUGCUAUGAGUUGGAGAAAGAAUAAACAGGAAACUGUUUGCAGAUUUUGCUUUUCUUUUUCUGUACAGUAUGGGGGCUUGGUUUUUUUUUUAUUCCAUUUUUGUUAUUUAUGAUCUCAAGUUUCUUCAUUUGUCCAAAAAGCUCUUUGUUGGAACGGUUUUUGCCUUUGCAUUAUUUGCUUCAUAAAAUUAAGAAAUUGAGUUUAUGCCUAUGAUUUUCUGAUGAUACAUAUGACUGCAUUGUGUUGUUUGCUAAUGGGGAUGAAUAUGGGGGAAUUAGAGGCCAGUGGUUUGUUAUGUAUUAACUGAGUGCAACUUACUACAUGUAUGAUGUUAGGCACUGAAUUUACUUAAUAUGGUUGGUUUUAUGGUUGUGCCAUGACUGCUUCCAGCAUUCUUGAAAAACAAAAUGCAAAGGGUUUAAGCUUCUCAUAUUGUAAUGAAAAGAGGACACUUGCUGGUUGGGGGUCUUUUAUUAGGAAGAAUUAUUGAGGUGAGAACUAAUUUCAGAUAAUGAGGGAAAUGAGGAGGCAGUUCAGUGUAGGUUAUUGAACUUGGAAUUGGGUUUAACGGUUUGUCGCCUGGUAUCAUACAGAACAAAGAAAAGUCAUGAAUCCUUUGAAAGCUUGGCAAUUGGAUUUAAUAGUUUCAUAGUUCCCUCUUUUUGCGUUCUUAAUUGCUGCUUUGCUUUUAAUUUAUACUGCUACAAUUAAAUUUGAAAGUUACUAUUAGAAGCAUGUUUCCGAUCAUCCAACUGUGACAUCUUACGUGUUUAUGUUUUUGAGGGAAUAGUGAGAGGUUUGAUAGGGCUCAUGGAUGAUGAUUGGUGUAUGGUUAAUUUCUUUAGCAGCUUCUGUAGCAGCUUCUGUUGUUUGUAUUUUUGUAAUGCUCAUUAAAGCUUGUUGAAUUAUGGUUAUGGUUAUUGCUGCAUAAUUAUUGUUCUUUUUUGAAUUUAAAAUAGGUUAUAUGUUUUUACUAAUAGGUAACAUUUUUUUUAAAGAGCAUUAUGAAGCAAAUCAGUAGGAGUAUUGCCUCCGAGGUGGUAGUUCAGCAGUGGUCAAAAGAACAUCAAAAUAUGGAAGAGAGAGCUUCAAACUUAUAUUCAGCCUUAUGGUCAAUUGAAGGUUUAACCGACGAUCAGCGGUAUGAUGCAUUGAGUAAAAUUCCCGACCAUCCAACUCAAAUGAUCGUUUUCUUUAGUUUACCUUCAGUUGCCCGAUUAGAAUGGGUUAGAAGAUUUCUUUCUUACCAUUAAAUAUCAAUGUUCAAACUUUUUGAUGUUGUAAAACUAUAUAACAUAUGGAUUAUAAUGUACAAUUUCAUUUUCAUCUAACCUUUUCUUAAUAUAAAUUAAUUAUGUUCAAGUUAUAUAUUGAUUUUAGUAAAUUCAUAUAAGAACAUUUUAUUAUUAACAAUUUCAUGAAAUUAUAUAUCACUAUUAAAUUAUAUUUAAUAUUAAUUAUUUAAAUUGUAUAAAUUCAUAUAAGAAAAUUUAUUAUCAAGAAUUUUAUGAAAUUUUAUAUUAUUAUUAAAUUAUAUGUAAUAAUUAUUAUUUUAAAUUAUACAAAUUCAUAAAUAUAAUUUAUUAGUUAUAAUUAUUUAAAUUUUAUUAAAUCAUAUAUUUAAAUUAAAAUAUAUUUAAUAUUAAUUAUUUAAAAUUUUAUUUUAUAGUAUCAUAUAUUAUGAUUUGAGUAAAUUCAUAUAAGAAUAUUAAUUAUUAAGAAUUUUAUUAAAUUAUAUAUUUUAAUUAUAUUAUAUUUAAUAAUAAUUAUGUUAUUUUAUAUUUUACAGUAUCAUAUAUUAUGGUUUGAGUAAAUUCAUAUAAGAAUAUUAAUUAUUAAGAAUUUUAUUAAAUUAUAUAUUUUAAUUAAAAUAUAUUUAAUAAUAAUUAUGUUUAAAUAUGAUUAAAUUAUUUAUUAUUGAUAUUAAUAAUCUUAUUAAAAUUUAAAUAAAAUAAUUUACCAAAACAAAUUUCUGCUAAUUAUUAAGAAUUUUAUUAAAAUAUAUAUUUUAAUUAAAAUAUAUUAAAUAAUAAUUAUGUUUAAAUAUGAUUAAAUUAUUUAUUUUUGAUAUUAUUUAUUAAAAUUUAAAUAACAAUAACAAUAAUCAUUUACCAAAACAAAUUUAUGCUAAGGGUAUUCUGGUCAUUUUAGUUUUCUCCAUUAUGCUAUUACACCUCUAUUACAUUCAACCAAACACAGUUUUACUAUUACGCCUCUAUUCCAUUACAUUCAACCAAACAGUUGAUUUGCUAUUACACCUCUAUUCCAUUACACCUCUAAUCCAAUACACCUCUAAUCCAAUACAGCGAACCAAACGUGCUCUUAGGGUUUUCUAUUUCCCCUUUUAUUUUGCCGAAAUACUUAGGUUUUUUAGGCUACUUUUUUAAUCAGCAUGGAGCGACACCGUUUAGGUUAUAGUUCAAUAAGCCUUGAAACGGCGCCGUGCAAGCCUAAUCCGACCCGGUCCAAUUCCUUGCCCCAGGAUCUACGUGUCUUUGGUGGGGAGGGAUAAUUGCGUGCUAAGUCCUUUCUAUUCGCGCUAUUAUUCAAUUGAAUCCUUUUAUUCUCUUUCAUUUUUUUAAAUUUGUUCCUAAGAUUUGUACAUAGUCUUAAUUUAACCAAUGGUUAAACGCUGCGCUUUAGAAUUUGGGGACAAUUGCCUCUUUAGUCCUCGGACAUUUGCGCGUAUCAAGCUUUAAUCCUUAAAUCUGUUUUAUAGCUUUAUUUAUUUGUAAAUUGUCCCUUCAGUUUUAUUUUUGCUUUAGUUGAGUAUAUUUUUUUUGUAUUUCACCGCAUGUUUUUAUUCUUUGUAAUUUUUUUUAUAUAUUUUUAAAUAAAAUUCAUUUAUUAUUCAUCUUGUAACAUAUUAUCAUAGAUUGUUUCAUUAAUCUGGCAUUGUUCAAGUACUUUCAUUAUUGUAUAUGUAUAUGUAUAUAUUUUAAUUCGUUCUAUCUACAAUUUAUAAAUUUAAAAUUCUUUUGUAUAUUUUUUUUACGUUUGAAGAUUUAUAUGGUAUUCAACCUCAUACUAUUAUACAUAUUAAAUUAUCUUUACUAUAGUCCACGUUAUUGAUUUCAUAUUAUUCUAUGUAAAUAAUUUUCUGUGUAUGGGUAUAUAUUUUCCUUUAAAUUUAUUUAUGAGUAUAAUGUGUUCCUUCUAAUGACCUUAUUUCAAAUUGUACAAUUUACUUAUUUUAUACACUUUCAUAUAUUAUCAUUUUUAUGUAUGUAUUAUCAAUAUGUAUCAUUAAUCCAAAUCAAUUUGUUUCAUAUAAAAUUAUUUUAUACAUCAUUUAUUUCAAAAUUCUUUUUGCACAUACAUAUAUAUAUUGGAACAUAUGUUUGAUCUAUAUACUUCACUAAAUUCAUGUAUUUUAUAUAUAAAAUUUAUCUUUGUAUACAUAAUUAUAUUUCUUAAAAUUGCACAUAUUUAAUUUAUAGUAAAAUUAACUUAAUUUUAUAUGCAUUAUUAAUGUCAUGCUAUUUUUACAAGUAAUUACUUCCAAAUUUAUUUAUAUAUAUAUAUAUUUUGUAAAUCUAUUAUGUGUAUAGUUUAUCUCCUAGGAUUAUAUUUUAUUAUGUAUUCUUACAAUCUUUUCAUGACUUACGUAUUAUUUAAGUUAUCUUUUAUUGUGUAUAGAUUGUCAAUUUCAAACAAAUAUUUUCUUAACAUUUAGUAUAUUAUUUAAUUCAAAUGUCUUCACUCUAUAACAUUUAUUUUAAUAAUUAUACAUAUUCCUAGUUUUUUUAUGCAAAUUAUUUUAAAUUCAUCAAUUCAUAUAUUAUGUGUAUUAUGUGUUCAUCAAUUCAUCAUUAUCUUAAGAUUGUCUUAUAUCACAUUGGCUUCUAAUUGCUAUUUUGUUUUAUACGUCUUGCAUUGAUUGUUUUAUAUUAUGUCAUAUAUAUUAUUGUUGCAUAUUGUUUAUUCAUUUUAUUGUUAUAUCAAUUGUUCUCCAUACAUGCUUGAAAAUUGGGUUAUAUUUUUUUAGAUUAAUUAUAUUUAACUGUUUAUUUUGUUAGUUAAUUAAAUAAUGUUAUGUAUCUUCAUUCACCAAGUAUAGUACUUUAUUUGUGCAUAUUGUCUCAUAUUUAUAAUUUCGCUUUUUGUUUACAAAUGCUACUUUGUAAUUUGCAACUUUUUGUUUUAAGAUUAAUUAUUCCAUUUUAUUUCAAGUCAAAUUAAUGCAUUUUAAGCUGGUUUUACAAUUAUUCGUUUGAAAAUUCCUUAAAAUGAAAGUAAUAUUUAAUGUUUGGAAAUUUGGGGAAUCGUGCCCUAUCGUGCUGGAUUUUGAUUUCCCGUUUGUUCAAAAUAAUCGAAUAUUCUUUUAGAAUUUCACUCGUGUUUCCCAAAUUUUAAAACAAGGCAAUGUUCAAUGUUUGGAAAUUCGGGGAAUCGUGCCCUAUCGUGCUGGGUUUCAAUUUUCUGUUUGUUCAAAAUAAUCGAAUAUUCAAUUUGAAUUUCACUCGUGUUUUCUAAAUUCUAAAGUAAGGCAAUGUUUAUUGUUUGGAAAUUCGAGGAAUCGUGCCCUAUCGUGCUGGGUUUCGAUUUUUCGUUGGGCUAAAUAAUUGGGCAUCCUUUUGUAAUUUUCAACGUAUAAACUUUUGGAAGUAAAAAAUUUAUCGCGUUUUCAAGGGUAUAAAGGAUCGUGUCCUAUCAUGCUGGAUGUGAUGCUGUAUGCCUUUGAAACAAGAGAAUUUCGACGACCAACUUGAGCCAUUCAAAUGUUUCAAAAGGAACCAUAUUUCAAAAAUAGCUUUAAAACUUAGACAUAAGGACAGUACUUAAUCAAUUUGGUACCAAUUUUGGGCGUAGUGGGUGCUAAUCCUUCCUCAUACGUAACCGGCUCCCGAACACGUUUUCUUAAAUUUACAUAGGCCAAAAUUGAUUUAAAUAUAAUAAAACAUUUUAUUAGGUGAUCCAAUCUCACCUAAACAAAAAGGAUUGGUGUCGACUCCAUAUUUUUAAAAGUUAAUUCCCGUUUUUCUUCAAAACAAAAAAAAAAUGGUUUCGACAAUGACAAUAUCAAUAUAUACAGAUAUCAAUAGAAAAACAGUACAUUUGCUUAUAUGGUAUUGACUACCUUGAUUAAAAGGUGCUAAAAUCUUGAAAUAAAAUCUUGAUAUCAAUAUAUACCUACACCACACACGCAUUCACUACUCACUACAUCCAAUUGGAGCUUCUCAAAUAAAGGCUUUAUGAUUUUUUCCCCGAUGGUUAGACUCAGGUGAUUUUUAUAAUUAACAACCCGUAGUCACUAGGUCAAUAAAGGGAGUUCCUUGUUUAGAUUUUUUUGUAUUUAUUUAAACAAAAUAAAGUAAAUUAUAUUCAAUUCUCUUUACUUUCCCUUGAGUUACUAAGAUUUUAAUUACCCCAAUUUGGGGGAAAAGCUAGGGAAAAGAAAGUGAACCGGGAAAAAAAUAUUAUAAACAAUCAUUUUCUUAACUUUACACUGUUUAACCAAACAAAGAUAGUGAAAAAUCUUUCACUUUCAUUUCUUUUAUUAAUCUUAACUGUUCAAACAGAAUGCCAACAACCUCUUCACCUAGUGACAAGAGUAUUAUGUGAUACAUAUGAGACCUUGGAUUAAAUCUCAAACAACUCCAUUCCCCAUCCUCGAUUAUAUAUUUAGAAAAAAAACUAUUCAAACAAAAUAAACAUAUAUCAUUUCUUUUUUUAACCUUUUUUUCCUUUACCAUUAUUUACCCAAGUACAAUGUAAGUAUACAAGGAGCUACUUAUCACUUAAUAUAAAAAAAUAAUAAUUAUUUUUGUUCUUUUAGCAUUAUCCUUUGAACACUUUAAUUUUAAAAUUUUAAAAAUGACUAUUUAUAAAAAAAAUCUAAUUAUAUUCUACACCAAAUAAACUUUAUAACUUAAAUUCAAUAUUUUUGAAUAUUUAAUAUUUUAAAUUUACCAAACAACACCUUAAUAUUAUGCUAUGAUACUGAAUGAGACCAAGCCCUAAUUAAAGUUGGGCUUUUUCAAAUGGGCAAAUACCCAAAAUAUGCAAAAGGUUCACAUAACCCAAUUUCCUAAGACACCGAAUUAGACUCGGGCCGAAAUGGGGUUCCAUGACAAGUCUUAAACAAAAAAAGAAGUGGAGAAAAGGAAAUAUAUUCCUAGUUGUAAGAAUAGCUGAUGAACAUCUCCAAGCUAGUAUUAUUCAAGAAUAACUUAUGAUGUUAAACUAAUUAUAAUAUUACCCUAAACCCUUGAAUCUAGUUACAUAUCGGUGCUAAGGUUCAUUUGAUUGGUGUACUUGCUUAAACAAAUCAUCUUCUGUUGAACAAGCAGCCUAUUAGGCCUCCCUUAACGUUUGGGUUUAGGGUUAAGGUCCGAUUCUAUUGUGCAGAGUCCGAUUCCUUUGUAAGCUACUUGUCCAUAGCAAUCUACUUUCCAUGUAACAAAAUUUACCCCAAACAUCAUGUUCCCGUCACCUUUCGCUCCAAAAGGAAAGAUUUUUAUUUCAAAUCUCAUGAGCUAGUUGCGCAUGUGAUUUCCACCUUGGAUAAAUUAUGGUUGUUGUUAUAUCCCUCCGCUAUCUAGAUAUGUGUUAAUUGUUGCAAAAAAAUCGAUUUUAAAAAUAGUUUUUCAGUUAUAGCAGAAAAAUUAAAAAUUUGAAAUUUGAGUAAGUUUGUGAUUUUUAUAGCAAUAAUUUUUUUUUCAAAAAUUACAUGUGCUUUGUGUAGAAGUGUGUAUGGGCCGGGCCACUCGGCCCGGCUCGAAGACUCGCCUGAAAUGUGAGAGGGUUUGGACAAAAAUAUAGGCCCGAAAAAUGGGCUUAGGCAAAAAAAUAAGGCCCGUUUAAAAAACGGGUCUGGCCUUGGGUAAGGCAUUUUUGGCCUGGGCCCGGCCCAGCCUGAAUUCACUAAAUGACAAAAAAAUCUAUUUUUUAAAUAUUAUUUUCUUAUUAUUUUCUCCCUAUUUUGCUACUAUUUUACUAUUAUGUUGCCACUAUUUUAUUGUUAUUGUUUAAAUAUUGUAUAAAACUUAUUUUAUUGUUAUUUUUUUAUUAUUUUAAAGAUAUUUGCUAAUUUUGUUAUUAUUUUAGGGGCAUUUGCUUGUUAAAUUGCAUCUAUUUUAGUGUUAUUUAAGUAUACAUAUUUUUUAAAAUUUAUUUUCAAUUUGUUGAGAAAUAUUUAUUUUGAUGUUUUUAGUAUUUUUGAUGGUUUAUAUAUAUUUUAAAAUUAUAUAAAAAAUAAUAUGGGCAGGCCGGGUCGAGCUCGAAUUUUAACAUUUUUAUUCGGGCUGGGCUUGGGAAAAAUUUUAAGCCCAUUUUUUAGGCCGGGCUGGGCUGGGUUGUGCUUGGGCCUAGCAAAAGGCCUAAAUUUUUAGUUGGGCCCGACCCAGCCCAGCCCAUGCACACCUCUAGCUUUGUGCUAGAUGAUUCCUAAACGUUUUUGACUUUCGACCGAACAUCCUUUUUUAUUAUUCUCGUACUAUGAAUCGCUUCGAAUGUGAGCUUGAACAAUCACGAAUCAAACACAAAAUUAAAAAAAAAUUUAUUACUUUCAGUAGGAAAGUAAAUCUCUCUCUCUCGAAAUCGAUAGAAUUGUUAUUCUCAGAAAAAAAAGAAUUUAUAUUUAGAAAAUAAAUUCUAAUUAUUUUCGAGCAAAAUAAUAAUAUUUGAAAGUUGUAUAUAACUUGUAUGUGUGUUUUUUUUAUCCCUACUAGUGUCAUUUAUUUAUAGGGAGAGAGAGAAAAAUGUUGGUUGAAUAGUAGAAAACAAAUAAUACUUAUAUAAUAGAAAAACUAGUCUCAUAGUUCAACUAGGAGAGGGGGCGAUACACCUUAGUUAAAUAUACUAGGGUUGUCACCCCUCAUAUGUAUUAUGAGGGGUUUUAGAUCUCUCCUGUAUUAGGUCUAAUUAUAUGUGUUUCCUAAACUUUUAACCCAACAUUUUAUAAAUCAAUUCAACUUCGUACAUGUUUUUCUUGUAACACCACUAACUCGUAUCCGUCACCGGAUUAGGGUUACGAAGCAUUACCAUAUAACCGAAAACAUUUAAAUUUAAUUCAUUCAAUAACAUAAACAAAUCAUAAUCCAAACAUAUACAUACAUACCAUCCCUAAAUCGAUCCCCCAAUGCCUUGAAAAUACUUUAGGAACGAUUCGGAACCAAUUUGAAAUCAUUUGAAAAGUUUAGGAAAAAGUCUCAAAAAUUUAGAAAUAGGGGUCACACGGUCGUGUGGCCAAGCCGUGUGCCUCACACAGUUGAGACACACGCUAGUGUCUCAGGCUGUGUAACUCACUAACUUGCAUACAAAGGAACUCUCAAAUGACACACGGCUGUGCCGCCAAGCCUUGUGUCCCAUACGACUAAGUCACACGCCGUAUCUCAGGUCGUGUGGACCUAAAUUUUCCUAAAAUCAAGUCAUUUCCAAUACCAUUAUAUGCAUAAUCAUUUAGGUCUUUUGUGCACAUUUUAAACUCAUCAAAACACUAUCAAAACAUACAUCAAAAGUCCUAAUUCAGCUAACCAAUAUGUCAUUCAAAGGCACCUCAAAUGCAACCAUCAACACUUACCUAAACAUGUCAAUCUUACCAAAUUUCAAACAUCAAAUUCUAGUUCAAUACUUUCUAAAACAUUUCAUAACUUGACCAUAAUCAUACCAGUUCAAAACAUAUCAUAUGAGCCACUCAAAACAUGCAUCAUAAGAUAGUCAAAAUGACACAAUCUAACUGUAACGCCCUGAAUUCUAUUAAAUUGUUUCUGUAGGUAUUUGAAAAAUAUAUGUCUACUUCAAUGGUUAUGUGCUCUGGGAAGUGAUUGAGAGGUCCUAAGUUCAAGCCUUAGCUUGGGGAAAAAUUUUGGUCUUUGAUGGAUAAAACCUUACUCUUGUUCGGUGGGCUUAAGUUUAAAUGCUAGUAGGAUUAUAUCAGAAUGGGCCUGCUGGUUUGGUGGUUAAGGUUUAUACUGGAGUGAGGGAGGUAUUGAGUUCGAAUCCCAGCGUGAGAAAGGGAUUUAUUUUGCUGCUAUUGCCGUGUGGGAGUUUGAGAUGGACCGAAACUCUGUUAGUAAGGAGGUUGAGGGAGAAAAUUAAGGGGACUAAGAUAGGGAAGUUAUCGGAUUGCAGUUUUUUUGCCCAAAAAGUUUCCUCUAUCAUUUUUCCUCUGCAAUUGCUCUCUCCAUACUUUUUCUAUUUCUUUUUCUUCCCCAGCCGAAAAACCCCUGUUGCUGUCGAUAUUAUUUCUUGAUAAUAUCAGUCUUUGGUCAUUUUUCUUUAUCAUUACCCAUCUCUAUGGUUGGUAUGAAAUCGAUAAGUGUAGGGAUACUUUUGGGUCUCGUUAUUUUAUUAUAAGGUCGUUAAGAGACUGUUAUUUUGUUUAGGAAGCAUCCAAGAUGCUGUGUGUUGCUAAAACGGUGUUCUAAACAGCGAGGAAUCACCGUAUUCAUUGAAGGUAAGUAGAUCUCUCUUUCAGGAUUUGGUAGUUCUUAAGGAAAUUGAUUUAAGUGAUUGAUAUUGGGCUCGACAUUGUCGAUUUUAGGCUUUGGAGUGCUCGUGGUUGGAUUAGCAGCGAAAACAAACCAGGUGUGUACUCUGAUUACGCAGAAAACGAGUUUCAACGAAAGCCGAAAAGUGGCUUGUCGAUGCCACACGGGUGUGUGGACUGCUCGUGUGGUAGCCUGCGUCGCGAGACGCAGGCGUAUCACUAACGAGCCAGACCGUGCGCGCACCACAUGGGCGAGACGGACACAGGCGUGUGAGUUGCGAGGCCGUGUGUGAGGCACGGGCUCAACCAUUCGAGCCGUGUAAGCCACACGGGCAUGUGGUAUUCUGGGCUAGGCCGUGUAAUCCAAACGGGUGUGCAGGUCCACACGGGCGUGUAAGCCCAAUUUUGUUGAAAUGUUCUGUAAGGUUGCACGGGUCAUCUAAGUCAACUGUGACCUGACUGUAGGGGUGGUAAGCAUUACUUAGUCCUCAUACUCUGAUUGGUUAUUGAAAAGUAUUUCAAUAUAAGCAUGUGUAUCUGUCUGAUUCUAUAUAUCUGCUCUAACAUGAUGUUGAUAUGAUCUGCUAUCUGCAUAAUAGCAUACCAUGAUAUUUAUGAUGCAUUGCAUUGGGCUGGGAUUGUAGUGAAGAGAAGGAAGUCUGAGAGGUGAUUAGCCUGUUGUCGAAACCAUUUUUCGACUUCUAAAAUCGAAAAUGUGAGUCGCCACCAAUCUUUAGUUUAGGUGUGAUUGGAUCACCUAAUAAAAUAUUUUGUUCCACUUAAAACAAUUUUGUAAAAUUUUUAAAAAAUGGGUUCGGGAGUCGGUUACGCAUGAGGAAGGGCGAGCAUCUUCAUUACGCCAAAAAAUUGAUACCAGAUUGAUUCAAUGCUAUCCUUAUAUCAAAGAUUUUAAAAAGGGUCUUUCGAAAUAUGGUUCUUUUAAAAAUGUUUUAGUAGCUCAAGUUAGUUGUCAAAAUUCUCUCGUUUCAAAGAUAUGCAGCAUCAUAUCCAGCACGAUUGGACACGAUCCUUUAUACCUUCAAAAAUACGAUUGAUUUUUGACUUUCAAAAGCUCGUACGUUAAAAUUAUAAAAGGAUAUCCAAAUAUUUAGUUCAACGAAAAAUCAUACCCAGCACGGUAGGGCACAAUUUCCCGAAUUCCCAAAUAUUGAAUACUGCCUUAUUUCAGAACUUUUGAAUAAUAAGGAAUAUGGGAAAUUAGCUCCAAACACUUUAAUUUUUCUUGAAAUAAAAACGAGACAACUAAUAUCAAUCAAAAUAUUGAAAUUUGAAUCACGAUGCAAUAAUAUAGAAAAAUCAAAGUUACAAACAUGGAUUACUAUACGAAAUAUUAUACAAGUAAACAAAAAGAACAAAUUAACAUACACACAAUAGCAAUGAGCUCGCAUCCAAGAAACUAAUUAGAAAGAAAUAUAACAGGUUCCGAACAUAGAUGGACAAAAAUUUAAAUAAUAGUGUAAAAGGCUAAUAAUCAAUAUAAAAUGAUAAUACAUGAAACAAUAUGAAAACUAAAGCAACACAUAGCAUACAAAACAAUUUGGAAAUAAUUUGAAAACUAUAAAAUAUAUGAAAAUUUACAAAAUGAAUAACACAUGAUUGGGUUUGAAAUAAUGUACAUAUAUAAAAAUAAAACUAAGAAUAUGUAAAUGAGUAUUUAAAUAAAUAUUGUGAAAGAAGAAAUUUGGAGCCAAAAACAUAAAAAAACAAAUCUAAUUAAAGGUGAUAAUGUACAUGCCAUAAUAGAAAAAAUCAAUGUACACAAUAUAUAAUGGAAAUAUAAUAUAAUAAAGGAUAAACAAUAUACAUGAAAAAAAACAAACCAAUAUAUAAUAAAACAAUAUAUACAUGAGAGAAUCUUAAAUAACAAAGAAAUAAUAAUAUAUGUAUUUUUUAAAGAAUAAAUUAUAUACAUAAUAAAUUUAAAAGGAAAUACAAAUAAACAUAUUUAAAAGAAAUUAUAUAUAUAAUAACAUAGAAUUAAUAGUGUUUAUAAUAUAAAACUAAUUUUAAUAUAAAUUAUAUUUUACUAAUAUAUAUACAUAAGGGUAGUUGAAUUAAAUAUUAUGAAAAAAUCUCAAACAAUAUGAUAAUAUAGAAUAUCUUAAAAUAAUAACUAUAUAAUUAAACAAAUAAAGAAAAAAAAAACAAAUGUAGAUGAAAUAAUAGAUUGAAAUGAAGUAAAAAAAAUGAUUAGAGCAAUUCAAAAUGUAUAUAUAAAUAAUUUUCUAAAGAAAUGAAUAUUAAAAAAAUAUAUAUAUUGAGAUGAAAGAAAAACUUAAUUGAAGUAAAAUCAAACUUAAAAAGAUAAUUAAUAAAAAAAAUAUUGAAAUAAUGACUAAAUCACAGUACGCGCGAACGUUCAGGGAUCAAAACUGAAAAUAACCCAGAUCUCAAAACAUGGCGCCUAGAUGCGUACCUAAUUGCAAAGACAGGCAAAUUCUAGGGACAAAUUGUAACAAAAUUAAAUGUAAAUAAGGAUCAAUUUAAUGGUCUGCGCGAGGAAGAAGGACUAGUCGCGCAAUUUGAUCAUUCGAAGUGCCAAAGUGCGGAUCCAGUACAUGGAUUGGGUGUGCACGCGAAUUUUCCCCCUUUUCUACACGGCACCUCUUCAAAUAUUUCAUAAAAAAAAGGAAAAAAAACCUAAAAUGAAUCCCUAAUUUUUCUAAACAAAAUCAAAACAAAGAACCCUUCUCAUCUCUCUCUCAUUCAGCCAAACCUGACGGUUCCUUGCCCCAUCACCGUUUUGCUUCCAUAUUUUAGCCGGCGGACAUCGUCCGAAGGCCUAAUCUGGCCUCGUUCGAACACGAAUCCGAGAGUUUUGCUAGGCUUAACCUUAAUCCUCAUCUAGGCUUCGACUACCAUGAAGCAAAACGCCAUAGAAGGUCUAGAGAAAGCUGGUUUUUCAUAGUUUUACAUCAUGUAAGUUUAAUUCUUGCUUUUUCUUGAUAAUUUUUAUGUUUUUGUGACUUUUACAACUAGGUCCAUAUGUUUAAUUCAUUAGUUUUUGAUUAUAUGGAUAAUUUUGAAAGUUUCCAUGAAUAAGUGCUGAAAGUUUAUGAUGAUUUAUCAUGGAAUUGAGGUUUUAAUUCUAUUAUAUGAUGAUUUUAUGAAGAGAUUUUCAUAGAAAUCAUUAUUUAGGACCUAAUUGUGAAAGUUAUAAAAUUAGGGUUUUGUGAUGAAACUUUGAAUGUCAAAGGCUGUGAAAUAGUUUAUAAUGUUUAAAUAAAGUUUUAUUUGAGAAGAAUUAGUUCAAUUGAUGAAUAAAUUGAGUAGGGACUAAAUUGUAAAAAUUGAAAAGUUUAGGGUAAUUGUGUAAUUUCAAAAAUUUAAGGGCAUAAAUUGUGAAAUAGAAUAGAAUUGAAAUGGAUGCUAAUGAAGGAAUGAUUUUAUAAUUAUAGAUCAAGAAAACGAACUGAAUCGUGGAAAGGAGAAAAUUCAAGAAUAGUCCUUGAAUUUCUACGACUUUUGCAAAUUAGUCCAGGUAAGUUCAUAUGGCAAAGUUCAAUGUUUUGUUAUGAAAAUAUUAUGAUUGUUAAAGUAUUUUAUUGUUGAUGAAUACUAUCAAUUUGCAUUAACUAAUAAAUAAUGUGUAACUAAAAGUACAAAUUAGUAGGAACAAUGGAUUUGAGUGCUUCUAUUCUGUGACCCUGAUGAAUUGACAAAAAAUAUGUGAUAAGUACGCCCGUUUAAGACCAUAGCUGGGCUAUGGCAUCGGUGCAAUGUGAUAAUGUGACUCCGUAUAAGACCAUAGCUAGGCUAUGGCAUCGGUAUAAUGUGAUAAUGUGAUUCCGUAUAAGACUAUGUCUGGGAUAUGGCUUCGGUAUGAUAUGUGAACUGUGUAAGACCAUGGCAAGGUUAUGGCUUCGGUGUGUGAUGCGUAACAAUGUGAAAGUCCAUAGUUUACUAUGGCAAUGUGAUAAUGAAGCACUCAAUUCCCUUAUUGUUCCCUAAUUUGACAAUGAAGUAAAUGAGAAAUGGGCCUAAGGGAGUUAAAUUGUGAGUAGCCAUAUGGAAAUUACUCAAAUGAGUUAUUAAUGAAAUUGUGAUUUGGAGGAUGAAAUAUUUAAACUAAUAGAUAUAUGAUUGUGUACAAUAUUUGAUAAGAUUUGUGUUUUUAUGCCUAUGAGCUUACUAAGCUUCAAUAAGCUUACUUGUGUGUGUUUGAUAAUUUCUUUUGUAGAUUGAAUUAAAGAGAAGUUGGUAGAUCGGAUCAACACAACAAGGCACACUAUUCAGAUCAAUUCCGGUAGUUUUUGUUUUAUGUUUAAAGAUUUAUAUGGCAUGUAUAGAGUUUGAAUGAAUUGAAGUAAAGAUGUUAUAAACUAGUUAACAAUAUUUGUACUAAAACAAUUUUUGGUAAGUAGCAAUAGUUUGACUUUGAAAAUUCACCAUAAUUGUGAAAAUUGAGUUAAGGGCUAAGAAAAAAAUGAGAUUAAAGCCUAAUGAGUCUAGUUUCAUAUAGAGGAAACGGUGCAUGCAAUUGGAUUUUAUGUUAUGAGAUAUUUAAAUUGUUGUGAGACAGAGUUUGAAUGACUUCGAGUUCCCUUGUUCUAAUUUUUAAAAAUCAUUAAAAAUUGCACAAAAAUAAUUAUGAGUCAUACUGUAUAUGUAUGGAUUCCUUAUUGGGUCUAUUUUUAAGAGAAACAAACGUCAUGGUUAUUUGAAUUCUGUACAGGGAGAAAUUUGGUUCGUAGUGCACAGGGGUCAAAGUAGCCAAAACCUGAAACAGGGGAGAAUUUAACUAAUAAACUGUACUAAUUGGACCAACCAAAAAUUAUAUAAAAAAUUGGUAAGUAGAUAUAUGAGUAUAAAUUUGGGGAAAAUUUACGGAUUUGGAUUUCGAGUUUUAUAACUCGAGAUAUGAUUUUUUUUAGCAACUAUGACGCAGUUGGACAGCUUGUUUGAAAAGUAUGAUAUAAAUUAUCUGAAUUUGGUUAAGUGCUCAAAUAAGUUUAGUAGUGCCUUGUGCUCGACUCCGGCGACGGUCUCGGGUAAGGGGCGUUACAAUAAAGGUCGAUCUUAAACAUGAUAUUUAUUUACAUGUGAGUGUACUAUCAUAUCAUGGUGUUCGACAAAGCAAACAUUAGCCGCUGCUUCUUUAAAUCAUGUAGAAAUAACUGCAAUGCAUGAGGGAAGUUGAGGGUGUGCUUGGCUAAGGUGAUUGAUCCAACAUAUCUAGAAGAUAUGUAAUUGGUCUUUAUAGGAAAAGAUGCCAACUAUUUUAUAUGAAGAUAAUGCAGUAUGUAUAGCUCAAUUGAAGGGUGGUUACAUCAUAGGUGAUAGAACGAAACAUAUUUCCCCAAAAUUAUUCUUCACUCAUGAUCUUGAGAAAAAAGGUGAUAUAAAUGUUCAACAAAUUUGUUCUAGUGAUAAUUUAACAGAUCUUUUUACUAAGGCGUUGCCAACUUUAACUUUUGAAAGCCUACUGCACAAAAUUAGAAUGCGUCAACUUAAAGAUGUAAUGUAAUGCUACCAUUAGGAGGAGUCUAAAAUAGGUUGUACACUUUUCCUUUAACCAAGGUUUUGUCCCAUUGGGUCUUCAUGGUAAAGGUUUUUAAUAAGGCAACCUGUAAUAAAAGAUUGUGUACUCUUUUUCCUUCAUUAGGUUUUUAUCCCACAGGGUUUUUCCUAAUAAGGUUUUAAUGAGGCACAUUAUCUACAAAUUGACAUAUGAAUAUCUUAUUAAGUGGAUGUCUAUCAUGAUUAAGAUAAAGUUUUGAUGUACUUUAAAUUCUAAUAAUUAUUUGAAUUAGAUUUCUUCUUCUUUUAUACUUCUUAUGCCUAUAAAUAGAUACUCUGAUAAAGCAUUGUAAUCAUCCCAUCGAUCAAUAAAAUACAUUUUCUAUUGCUUCCCAUAUUUUCUUUGUUCUUUAGUCUCUCUAUCUCUCUUUAUUUUAUAACAUAACUUAUUUUAUUUUGGGUUUUUAAAACUCUUGUUUUUUUAUUUAAUAUUAAUUCGUUAAGUAUAGCUCAAUACAAAACAAAUUUAAUACAAAUUUCCUCUAAUACUAUUGAUAUUUUAAAGGAAUUGAGAGCUUUGUGAAGACCAAACUAUGCUUUAAGUAUGCAGUCUCUCUUGAAUCAUUCUUUCCAUUAACGGUCAAAACAAUCUUAACCUCAAUGAAAAGUAAAAUUUGAGCAUAACGUUUAUCAAAAUAUAGAAAAUUCCAAAUAAAUGUAUUCAUUCCUACCAUUAUAUUCCGUGUCAUCUGUCACAUGUAAGUCAUAUAUUAGCUAUUUUUGUUCCAUAAAACAUAACAUCGUUAGUGUUUUGGGGUAAUUUGUUGUUGGACAAAACACGUUAGUGAACAAAUAUAAAUAUAAAUAUUUAUAUUAAAUACAAGAUCUAAACAAAUAAUUAUAUUUAUUUAAAACAUCAUAUCUGAAAAACCAUACCUCUGUAGUGAUCAAUGACAAACUUGUGUGUCUUAAGCUUUUAGGCAUUCAAUAUGGAGGAAUUUUGAAAAUUUCUAUGAAUAAAAAUAUUCGCAAGGCUAGAAUGGCUCAACCAGUCUAGACAUUUUACGUCGCCCACGUCGUGCAGGUGGCACCCUAAUCCCAAUUGUAACACCCCAAGCUCGGCCUAGACGUUAUGGUCGUAUUUGGCAAUAUCACAUGAUAGUGUUUUUGAAACCUCGUUGUUACGAUGAAACAUUUCAUGUUAUUAUCUUUAGUAAACUUUUGUUAGAACUUAGGAAGUCGUCUUUAUUCAUUUAAAACAUUUGUUUUGAAACAUCCCUCGUUGUGGAAACUUUAAAAAAGUAGUCUAAGUGAUCAUACGUUUAGAAAAUACUUUAACUUUUUGAAAAUCGAAUUUUCUACAACUAGCAGGUAUAAAUCCAUAAAGUAAAACAAAUAAAUAAAAACCCAAAUUUAAAACCAAAGUCUCAGAGGGUCCUUAAGUUACAACCCAAAUAAUCAAAUUAUAAAUUGUAAAUUAAAAACCAUGAAGUCUAAAAAUUAUUGUGGUCACCGCUAAGUCCUCCGUUGCACCGAUCUGUUUAAAUCUAGGGAUUACCUGUACAGAUUAAACAAAAAGGGUGAGUUUACGUAAACUCAAUGUGUAAUCCCGCAGAAACAAACAAACAAUCAGUAUUUACAGUGCACAGUUGAACAGUCUUGGGCCUAAGCCCUUUUCAGUAUUAGUGAGAGUUUGGGUCUUUGCCCAUCUCAGUACAGUGUCAAAAAUGCAGUAGGGCCUUAGCCCAUCACAAUAUUAGUAGCAGUAAUAGUUAUGCAUUAGCAAAAACCUACCUAACAACCUCUACACACCAUCUCCAUCUAACCCUACACUCCAUGAGGGGAUAUAAUCAACCCACCCACCCCUACACUCCAAGUAGUACCGAAUGCGGCACAAAACAGUAGUUUGCAGCUGAGCUGCCAGUAAAUUAGGCUUAAAGCCUUUCAGUACACUUCCUCAAAAUAACAACCCCCAACCCAAUGCAAUGCAACAUACAAUGGAUGAUAUGCUAUUACGCAAUUUCAGUACAUAUAUUCAGUUCAGAUAUUAACAUGCUUAGUACAGAUAUCAUUCAAUCAAUUUCACACAUUUAGGGGUCUAAGUAGUGCUUACUGACCUUACAGUAGGUUCACAGUCGACUUGGGCGACCCGUGCAACCUUAGAAAAAUUUCGGUAAAAAUGGGCUCACACGCCCAUGUGAUCUGCCCGUGUGGCCCACUCAGCCCAAAUUGGCCUUGACCGUGUGAUCCAUUUUUAAUGUAACCCAUGCUAGCUAAAUAUUCAUAUAUGUUUUCACUAUUUACUUAUAUGUUCAUUCAAAGCUGUCUACUUGAGUCAUUAUCACUAAAUUAUUUAUAUCUUGAGCUACAGAAUUCCAAAUUAAGAUCCGCUUGAUGUUUUUGAAACUAGACUAAAAUACCUUUCUACCAUAAAAUUUUCAGAAAUUAUAGUUUAUCAGAUAAGUACAGUAAAAGCUUCAAAUUUAUCCCUAUUCUACUGUUUGACAACUUCAACUAUUUUUGAUAAAGUUAGACUAUUGCUAUUGCUGCUGUCCAAAAUUAUUUUAGUGCAAAAUGUUGAUUUCCAAGUUUAUAACACCCUUAUUUCCUUUAUCUACAAAUUUUUUCGCAUCAUUUUCUCUUAUUUCUCUUAUUUCUUGACAGCAAGCAAUUUUGGCUUUUCAUCGAUCCCGUUUUUUGCGUUUCGGGUACACACCUGGUAUCUUUUAUGAUGCGUAAGCACUCCUAAGCCUCCAGAACGUAAAAAUCGACCAACAUAUCUCUAGAUUAAUCACUUAAUUCAUUUUUAAUCAACCAAUUUCGGAAGGAACUUGACUAAAAACCUAACAAAACUCUUACCUCACUUGAGUAACCACGACUUCGCACAAUCAUAGCGUCGAUUCAAAACCACCAACCCCUUGAUUAACUCCUAAACACCAAAAAGGAAUUCUCCUUUUAGAGAUUAACCAAGAACGAUUAAUAAUAGACAAAACCUUUACUUACCAAACACGCGCAACCAACGAUGAACAACCGAAUCAAUUGUAGAAAAAAGAAAGAAACGGAAGGGGAAAAAUAAUGGAAAUUACAGCUGCAACUAGGGGAAAGAAUCGGUAGAGGAGAGAAAAGAAUAAGAAGAAAACGUUAGAAAAAGUUUGGGUAAUUGGAGAGAAAAUCGAAACUCUAUUAUUAUUAUUAUUUUGCAACAAAAAGAUAUCAGAUUAUUUUCUGAUAACCUCAAAUUGGAGCAAAAAUACUAUCUCCACACCAUCACGGAGAAUUGAACACAAGACCUCCAACACUCCUCUUAACCACUAGACCAACAAGCCCAUUCUAAUAUAAACUUACCAACAAUUAAACUUAAGCCCUUUGCACAAUAUUAAAGCUUUAUUUAUAAAAAUAUCAAAAUUUGCCCAAGUAAGGCUUGAACUUGAGACCUCACACACACACCUAGAACACUUAACCACUGAAGGAAAUACACACUUAUGUAUCACACAUACAUGAAAUUAAAAAUCAAAAUUUUGGGGCGUUACAUCGAUGGAUUUGCACCUCCCCUUUGCGCAUGAGGGAAAACAUUAAUUUGGUCUUUCAAUAACCACUAAGUUGGUUUACAUAUAUAUACAAGUUCCACACUUGAUUCCCAAUCAAUGUGGGACUAAUGCUUUUCAUUUUCCUCAACAUAAUUCACAAGAAGCUUAUUUUGAGCAUCAAUUUCUAAUUUAUCACUCAAUCAUUUUGAGCAUAUGAUAUCAUGUUGUAAAGGUCUUAUGGGGUAGAACAUAAAAUCAUAAUUUUAUGAUUCAAAACUCCUCAUUUACUAAUCGAAAAUAUGCCUCAAAGAUUCCAAAAAUCAUAUUUUUCCAACAUUAGUAAAUAUUUGGCAAGUUUAGAUAUCAAUUAAACCCAAAAAAGCUCAAGUACCAAAUUAGGAAAAAGUGUUAAGUUCAUAUUGAGUCAAAAAAUUCAAAUGACAAAUUUAAAAAAAAAAAAAUUAAAUUCAAAGAUCAAAUAAUAUCUAUUACGAAUUGAACAAGUCAAACCUAGGCAAGCAAUUUCUUUCUAUUUCAGCUUAGUUGGAUCCAAUUCAAUUUUUUUGUCUUUGGUACAAUAGAAUUUAAAACUCACACGCCUGUAUCCACACUUAUUUAAAUUAGCACAUAAACACGACUUGUAAAUAGAUACUACGACUUUAGAAUAUAAUUAACACUUUUGACAUAUAAUAAAAAUAUUAUAAAAUUUAAAUCUCAAUUUCACAACAUUUCACGCUAAACAUAAACAUCUAAUAAAAAUUAUUAUAAACAUUAUAAAAUAUGAAUCUCAAUUUGACAACAAUUCACGCUAAACAUAGCCAUUUGAAUUAACUCUUAAAACAUCCAAUGUUGCUUAAGUAUGUGUUUGGAGGGGUAUUGGAGUGUGAUGUAGUGGGUUUUUAUGAUAUCUAAUCGCAUCAUUAUCACUGUUUUUACACUAAUCGUAAAUAAAUGCAUUGUCUAUCUAAAUUCACCUUAAGUCUGAAUUUAAACCUUUGCUAUCUAUAAUUUUUAUAUCUAAUUUUAUGUUUUAAAUUUUGUUAUAUUUUAAUUUUAUAUGCUAUCAAUGAAUUUAAAAUUUUUAAUGACUAUAGAAUUGAAACCCUAAAAUUAAGAUGACUUAGUUUAUCUAAAAUGAUAACAAUAAUCUUCUCUACACAGGAUAAAAAAAUAAAUAAAUUAUAAAUAGGGGCAUAUAGGUUCUUUCAUGAAAACAUUAUUUAAUUUAUUUUUCAUUUGUAAUUUAUUUCAGUCAAAACCAUAGUUCCAGGUUGAUAGAGUUAAGGAGGCUGACAAAAAAACAAACAAUAUAUAUAUAUAUUUAAUUAUUUUAUGUAGUUUGAAUGAAAAGUGAAGAAUUCGAGAUUCCAGAAUAGAAGCAUUGCAAUCUUCAUUUAAUUUCAUCUCACCCCAUAUUAAAUACCUACAUUCAUUUUCUUCAAUUGCAUUCAAUAUUCGUUAAAAUUAUUCAUUAUUUUUUUUAUUUUUCUAAAUAAAAAUAGUAAAAAAGAUAUGCAAACCAUAAAUUUUAAAUUAUUUUAAACUUAAAUAAUUCAUUUUAUCGAUUUACUCCCUCACAUUGAUUUAAUGUAUUUCUAGAUGGCAUCUCCCCACAUAGAGAUGAGUGUUUUGCAGCACAUUUCAAGGGGUUGGAUUGCUUCCAUUUUACAUUACCCAAAAAAAAAAUAGUUUAAUCUAAACUUAUUAUAAAAGGAAAAAGAAAGAAAAUUACAAGCGUAGAAGCCUCCCCAAUAUGUUGAAAUUUCAACAAACAACACUCCUUUUUAUUUUCCUUGAGUUUCUUUAAUCUCAAAUCCCAAGCACAUGUUUGUUUUAUAAUUUAUGUUCGAAUUUUGUAACUAUUUUUCUCAAUAAUGCUGUCUCCAAGAGACGAAUUUAUAUCCUCCCUUUAAAAGUGCAACGUGUCUUACCAUUAUACAUAAUUACUUAUUAGUGUUUAAUAUACUACUUUAUAACAAAAAUGUUAUUAUAUUAAAUAUGAUAAUUGUAAUUUUUUUAUUUAUUAUCAAUAUAUUAAUGAAAAUUACUAUAUUUAAUUGUCAUUGUGGUCCAAAAACAAUCAAACAUGUCAUGACAAUUAAUAAUUGAAAUUAACCAAAACUAUAUAUUUAUAUUAUAUAGUGAAAAUUGAGGAAUGGGGAUGAAGAAUAUGGUAAGGUUUCAUAUUCAAAGAAAAUGGCAAAAAUAAUUAUACCUAGAAAUUAGGUGUGAGGAAAUGUUGAUGAGAAGGCAUGGACAUGCGGUGGCCUUAAAGGGUGGAUAAAAAAGAUAAUACCAAUUGAGUGCUACUUGGAGUUCAAUAAAAGGUAAAAACCAAAAGAAAUGGAGAGACUGUGAAGUAAAGAAAAGCUAAAGGUAGAACAACCUGAAAAGUUGUGUAUAUAUUUUUUUAAAAAAUAUAUAUAUUUUAAAAAUUUUAAUAUGAUAUUUAUAAAUAAGAAAAAAAUUAAUGCAUGAAUAAAAAAUAAUUAAAUAAUGUUUAAUCGGUGCCCAUGAGUAGGAGAGUAGGGAGAAAGCUAGGGUUUCAUUCUCAAUAUUUUUUUUAAAUUGAAUUAAUAGUUAAAUUGAUUAAUUCUUCGAUUAUUAGUACAAUUGUUUAAUUAGAUUUAAUUAAAUAUUAUUUUAAAUUAGAAAGAAAAUCAAUUCAAUCAUCUGAUGAAUCAAUUUAUAUCAAUUUAUAAAUUAAUUAAUUCAACUGUUUGAAUCCAACAAUCUUGCUUUUAAGGUUGGUGCCAAUAGGGGCUACCCAGGGCACUUAAAACGGGAGCAUAAUACUUUUACCCUUUCAAUUCUAUAAAAUUAUAAGUUACCAAAUAGUCAAAUUGUAUUUUAUCCCUAAAAUAAUAAACUCUUAGUUUUAUCAUUUAAAAAUUAUAAAAAUGUAAAAUAAUACAAUGAAAAAAAUUAUAUUUUAGCUUUCAUAAAAAUACAUAUUUUAAAUUAUGUGAGUCUCCAGGCCCAAUUUCAGACUUAUGGAUGUGAUUGGCUUACAAAGUCCAAUAAUAAAGUUUAAAGUCAAGUAAAUCAAACCAAGAUUCGAUCAAAGACAAUAUGUGAUGAUGAAUCUUUUUGAGAAAAUGUGGAAUGAUACAUGCACGAAAUGGGUGAAAUUUAUUAAAGUCUAUUUAACCAAACUGUCAAUUUUCAAAUUGAAAAGAUUAGUCAACUUGCGAUGAAAUUUUGGAUGAAAUCCAAACAUUUAUGGGCUUAGAUGUCUACAUAGUAUUUGAAGAUAUAUCUCUUCGUUUUGAAACACACAUUGAAUCAUUCGAUUUCGAGGUCAGAAGCUCAAGUUAUGACUAUUUUAGUGAAGAUUACGCGAACAGAAUUUCUGGACGGGAUUAUUUCAGAAAUUACGAGUUUUGGGCUUUUAAUUUGAGUUUAAAUCAUAUUGGGUUCAGUUUUUAGACUUCAUUUUUAUUAUAUAUUAGCCUAAUAUUGUAUUUUGUAGAUUUUAUUAUUUUAUUAUUUAUUUAUUUUAAAAUAUUGAAUAUUAUUUAAGUAUUUUAAGUUGUUUAGGAAUUUUUGUUUCAAUAAAAUUUAGUUUAAAACUAAUUCUUGUUUAGAUUGAUUAGAGUUUUAGUAUACCUCUUCAAGUUUUAGUUAAAUGUAUUUAGUUAGUCUAUAUAAAAAUUUACGAUUAUUUUUCAAAUUUAAUUUUUUAAUACUUUUUAUAUAAAAAAUAAUUAUUUUUAUCCUUAAAAAUUAGUAAUUUAAUAUAGUUUAGCUUGAUGUUUCUAAUAUAAAAUUCUUAGCUGUAAGAGAUAGAGAGAGAAAAGAAAUAUUAAUGGCAAAGUAUAAGGUGGCAGAUACACACAUUGAAGGAGAACUGCAAUUGAAAUAAAAGGGGGACCUGUUUAGUUGGGUAGGUCAGGGAUUUUAUUAAUUGCCUUCAACUCUCUUCUUUCUUCCUUCUUCUUCCUUCCUCAUUUCUUUGCUUUUGGUUCAAAUUAACAACGCAAACAAAUAUUUAAAAAAAAUGGGGUUUCGAUAAAAAUAUGAAUAUUUUUAGUUCAUUAUAUGAAACCAAUGCAAUUGCAGGCAAUCAUGAUUUUGAUAGUGAAAUAGAAAGCUAGCCUUUCCCUUUGCCAUUGCGUUUGUCUCUCUUGUGUUCACUGUUUCAGGGAUAAUUAAACCCUUUCAACCACCUCUCUUGUCUCCGCCAUUAAAGCUUCUGAAAGAAAAAAAGAGAGUCAAUUUUCAUUCAUUUAAUUCCUUUGUUUCUCUGGUACAAAAGAUCCAAGGGGAGAUAAAGUGUUGUUUGUUUUUAGCUAUUGUUUUAUUUUUAUAGUAAUGCAUUGCUAGCUUCUCCAAUUUCAUCACUUUCCUUUGGCACUGAAUGAGAUAAUAAUGGCUUCUAACGCUUACAUUAUUGCUAAUAAGAGAGCCGUUUCGUCUCAUCCUCAUCGUCAACCCCAUAUUCCUCUUCUUCUUCUUCUUUUCUCUCUCUUUUUCAUCGGGAAAUUCGAUAUUGUUUCCGCUCUAAAUUACACCAAGUAUACUAGGAAAGUGAGUAACUUGAGGCUUCAAAGAAUUCAAAAACACUUGGAAAAGAUCAACAAGCCUGCUGUCAUCACCAUUGAGGUAUAUAUAUAUAUAUUGCACCCUAAACUAUGUACAUAAUUUUCUUUCAUCUUUCUCAUGGGGUUUUUUUUAUUUUCUUGUUUUUCAGAGCCCAGAUGGAGAUAUCAUAGAUUGUGUUCAUAAAAGAAAACAGCCAGCUUUGGAUCACCCUCUUCUGAAAAAACAUAAGAUUCAGGUAAAUACCCAAAAAAAGGGGUUUGAUCAUUUUCAAUCAAACAGAUACAUUUAGCACGAAAUUUGAGUCUAGUCUUUGAAUUUUGAAAGCUUUGAAUGGUGAAAUAUGUAACAGAGAGUUGCACCGGAGAUGCCAAAAGUGAAAACGUUGAAAAGAGAUGAAGGAAGUGGAGACUCAAAGAGGAAAGAAGGAGAAGAUUUAAUAUGGCAAAUGUGGCAUAGGAAUGGGACAAGAUGCCCCAAAGGAACUGUUCCAAUACGGCGGAGCACAACUCGUGAUGUUUUGAGAGCCAAGUCUUUGUUUCACUUCGGCAAGAAACAAUCUACCACCAUCAACCCUACUCGCGGUGCCGACGCUCCCGACGUCGUUAGCAGUAACGGACAUGAGGUACAUCAAUUUAUUUUAAUUUAUUCAAUCAAUAAAAUUAUUAGUUAUAAUCAAUGAAAAUGAGGAAAAUUAAAAUUUGAUAAACAACAUGUAGUAUAUAAAAAAGGGCAUUGACUUACUAGGGUUUCAUGCUUUUGGGUUAUUGAAAAGUGUAAUGACACCAAAAUUAGUGGAUGAAAUUUUUAAUUAAAAGAAAAACUGGAAAACAUGUGAUUGAACAUCUUCUUGAAAAUGGGCUAUUGACCUUUCCAAAAUGAAAUUGGAAUUUUUAACCUUCUUUCAAUUAAUCACAUACUUUAUUCCUUAAUUAACGUACACCAAUCAACUCUAAAAGCAUCAAGAAACAACUGUAAAAAGCUCAAUAUAUUGUUCAUAUUUAUCAUAGCUUAUUUUUAAAAAGGUCCCAAAAUAUUAAUUCACUAUUGACAACUCAAUUUCUUGAAUAAAGUCAAGAAGUAAUAAGAAUUGGAUGGUGAUGGAUGCAUGUGCACGUUUGCAGCAUGCGAUUGCAUAUACGGGAACAUCCCAAGAGGUAUAUGGAGCAAAGGCUACGAUAAACGUGUGGGACCCAUCCAUCCAAGAGGUCAACGAAUUCAGCCUAUCACAGAUUUGGAUUCUUUCGGGGUCAUUCGACGGCUCUGAUCUCAACAGCAUCGAAGCUGGAUGGCAGGUACUCCUUCCAUUUCCUGUCCUUACAUGCACACUAUCAUUAUUCUUCACUUCAAGAUUCUUCUUUGAUUGUGGAUAUUACUAAUCUAUUAAAUCUAAUAAAUACAUCGAUUUAUUAAUUAUGUAUUUUAUUUAAAUAAACAAGUUGAAUUUUUUUUUAAAAAAAAGAAAGAAAGAAUAAUUUAAUUUUAUAAAUAUAAAGAAUGGAAAAUUUAGGUUGUAGAGUAUUCUGAAGUUUUGAUAAUUCUACUAGUCAGGUCAGUCCGGAGCUUUAUGGUGACAGCAGGCCAAGACUCUUCACAUAUUGGACGGUGAGUUCUCCAUAUUUCUUUUUUAUUAUUAUAAAAUUCCACUAAUCAUAACCAAUUAAAAUGUUAAAAACACUCAUUACCAAAAUGCAAAAGAAAUUGUGUCCAAUAAUUAAAUUAAACCAACCAACAAAAGCUUCAUUAUUGUUGCGGAUUCUUUAAAUUAACUUUCUGGGUUUCUUCCAAACAAUUUUCUUUUUUUUAGUUUACACAUACAUAUAUCUACAUGAAUUUUCAAUAAUGAAUGCUUCUAGGAUUUGUUUAAGUAUUAUUGAUACGCUAUAAUUAGUAGAUUGAUGGAAUUUGGCAUUUGUUUGUUAAGGAGAAUAUAUUUAUUUUCAUAUAAUAUGAAGUCAACAUUAAUUAUUUCAGUAAGAUGUGGAUAUUUAUUAUUAGUGAAUCUCAUGUAAGUUGUCACUUUCAUAACUGAGGUGAAAAUUAAUUAGUUUUCUUUUUAAUGGUUGGGUGGAUUUUAUUUUUUAUUAUUUAAAUAAUAGUUCCGGCUUAGCUAAAUCUUUUUUCGAUCGGAGGCGGAUCGUUAUGGUAGUUUAAGAAACUUUAUCCCCCUCGAAAUUUAAUAUCAAAAUCCGUCACGAUUAGAAAUAAGCUUAUCUAGUUGUAUACGUAAUUAAGCAUUAGAAAAAAAUAUUACAAGGAAUACAAUUAUUUGAAUUGUUAAUUCAAUUAUUAAUUAACAAUAUCUUUUUUACAGUCUGAUUCCUAUCAAGCAACUGGAUGCUACAACCUUCUCUGUGCAGGCUUUGUGCAAACAAAUAGUAGAAUUGCCAUUGGGGCUGCCAUUUCUCCUGUCUCACAAUAUGAUGCUAAUCAAUAUGAUAUUACCAUCCUCAUUUGGAAGGUAAAUCACUUACUUUCAAAUAAAAAACUGCAAAUAUUUAACUUAAUAUAAGGUCGGUGUUUCAAUCUAAGAUUUUUUUUCUCAAUUUUAGGAUCCUAAGGUAGGAAAUUGGUGGAUGGGGUUUGGUGAUAAUAACCUGGUAGGUUAUUGGCCAGCAGAGCUAUUUACUCACCUAGCAGACCAUGCCACCAUGGUGGAAUGGGGUGGUGAAGUAGUGAACUCAAGGGCCAACGGCAAGCACACGUCGACUGAAAUGGGCUCCGGUCACUUUGCUGAAGAUGGGUUUGGAAAAUCGAGCUAUUUCCGAAACUUGGAGCUUGUUGAUGCCGAUAAUAGCUUGAGUUCGGUCCAUGACAUAUCAACCCUAGCUGAGAAUACAAAUUGUUACAAUAUCAAGAAUUCUUACAACAAUGAAUGGGGAACAUAUUUCUACUACGGAGGGCCUGGGAACAAUCCACAGUGCCCUUGAGCAUCACCGUCCGAUCGACUUUACGGCAAGAUAUGAUUUUUAAGAUAACGUAUAAAGAAAUUAUUGUCAAAAUAUUCUUUAUUUGUGUAAGUAUGAAUUAUGCUAUUCCCAGUCUUGGAAUUUUGCUAAUUUUGGUUAGCCUUGAUUUGGUGAGGAAGGAAAUGUGUAUUAUUAGUGAAAGAAAGACUAAAGGCAAAUUGCAUAAACAGGCAUGGGAGUAGCAAUAUUUUGGGAAUAGGGUAUGGUUUAAUGUGAAUUUUUCCUCGAUUGUAACAUUUAUAGUACAGUUUCAUUGUUGUAGACCCAAAUGUUUAUUGCUAAGCUAAAGUCUAAGCUUUUCAAUUAGAAAAAUAAAAAUGAAUUAAUGAUUAAAUUUAAUAUUUAUAAUUUUUUGUCUGUUACAAUCUAUUUAUACUAAAAAAAAAGAAGUUGAUUGAGUUUUAACUCGAUUGGCAUGGGUAUUGUUGUCAAUGCGAGUUUGAGUGCGCUGAAGCUAUUAUCUUCCUAUUUAUUGGUUCGAGAGGAGUUAUGAAUAAUUCUAAGUAUUAUAUCAAAAAAAUAGAUAUAAUCAAAAUUUAAAAUGAAAUUAUUCAAAAACAAAUAUUUACUAUUUUAUAUAGAUAAACUCCAAUAUUUUUAUCACACAAAUAAACUCUUAAAUUUUAAUUUGUACCCAAACUCAAAACCAAAACCCCUAAACACUUUAAAUAAAUCAAUCUCUCUCUUUUAAUAUUAAAAAAUAAAUAAAUCUUUCAUUCUAAAUGGUUAGGGCAAUUAAAAAAUGGGCAAAGUGCAAGAAGGAAGGAGCAUGUUAUUCCCAAGAAAUAUAAAAAUAGUAAGGCAGCAUAUUGAGUGGAGUCAAAUGGAUUUGAGGAAAUGAAGGCAGGCAGUUGAGUGAAGUAGCAUCCUAUUCAAUGUCAUUCAAUGUUUGAUGUUGGGAAUUGAGCCUGCUUAUUUAGUUUAUAGUUUUCAUCUUAAAAAUGAAUAAAUAAUGCUCUUUUUUUUUAAAAAAAAAUUCCUGGUUCCAAUGAAACCUGUUAGUAACAACUAUUAGCACAAGAUUAUCCAUUUUUGUGUUUGCAAUCAAAUAUUUAGUAGUUGUUAAACAUUCAGAAAAUAUGGUUCAAAUUGUGUUUACAAUUUACAUAAUUACAUGAAUGGACUUGGUGAUUCAUCACAUUAAUGCUUUUCUUUCAUUAUGGGAUUAACACAUGCUUCUUCAUAAUGUUGUCAAUGUAAUCAUGCUUCUUCCUCUUGAUGAUAAUUAAUUGAUGUAAACAUGUUUUUCAAUACAUGUAUAGAUAUGUAAGCAUAUGGUGAUAAUAUACUUAUUAUUAAUUGGUUAAUAUAUAUAGAUAUGUACGAUUAGUUUAUAUAUAGUUAUGUAUGCAUAUGAACUAAUUUUAAAAUUUUAAAAAAUUUAAUGGACAUGUUAUAAAAUUUUAUUUUAAUUAAGUUUUGUACCAUAUAUGUUAUAUAUAUAUGUUUUGUGGUAAAUAUUUUGUCAUUCUCAACCGAAGCUACUCCGAGUUACCCAUUGAGCAAUAAAAAAUGUACUGUGGUUGUUUUACGAUCAUCAACCGUUCCUGCUUCUUUGCAUGCUCUGCUGACUGUGUGGAAUCUUGUUUCUGUCAGAGGAAGAAGGAAGAAACCGAAUGAAGCCGCAAGGCAUGUUUCUUUGUUUGUUGUGGUAGCAUUAAUGGAUUUUUCUCAUAGAUCUUAUCAUGUGUUGUGCCACUCAACUUAAUUUGAAUGAUCGAGAAUUUGAAUAAAAAUAUAAAUUUAAGAAUAAGACUUAUUUUUUAAAUAUAUCGGGCCUUGAGUAAACUUUUUUAUCUUAGCCCAGCCCGACUCAAACUUGCCAAAAAAAAAAUAAUGUUGUUUCCAUUGUUUUGGUUAUGCUUUGGUUAUUUCACUAUUAUAUUACUACUAUUUUGUUGUUCUUAUUUGAAUAUUGUAUUACUUUUAUUUUAUUGUUAAUUUUACCAUUGUUUUAGAGGCAUUUGCUUGUUAAAUUGCACAUAUCUUAAUGUUAUUUAAGCAUAAAUAUUAAUUUUUUUAAAAUUUAUUUUUAAUUUAUUGAGAAACAUUUAUUUUAAUGUUUUUAGUGUAUUUAAUGUAUUAUAAUUUUUAAAUUUCUUUUUAUAUAAAAUAAUAAUAUAAAUAUAUUUAAUACGAACGGGAUGGAUUGAACUCGAGUUUUAACAUUUUUAUUCAAGCCAGGAUUGGAUAAAAUUGUAAACUCAUUUUUUAGAUGAGCUGAAGCCUAAACCUAAAAAACGAAUCUAAAAUUAUGUUGAAGCCCAACCAUGAUCACCUGAGUUUUUAGCUUUAAUCGAAUUGGGCUCUAAAUGCAAUAAGCCACUACUGGGCUUUGAAUUUGAUCCAUUUAGUUCAUGAAAUUUUUGUAUAUCUAUCUUCUAUACUAUAUUUAAGUAAGUUGGUAUUAUCCUUAAUCUGUUGUGAAAUAAUAAAGAAAGAAUAAACUAAAAUGUGAUAGAAGAAAGAGUGUAGAGAGAAUGUAGAAGAGAGAGUGUACUUCUUUUUAUAUAUUAUUUUUCAUGAGUACAUGAGCCCUAUAUAUAUAGGGGUUAAAAGUAACUCUCUAAUUAUUAUAGGGCAUGUAAAGGGUCAUGACCUUUUAUCUCCCAUAUUAAUGGGGUAUAGGAAAUAACUUAUGGGGUAUAGGAAGAGUUUUAUAACUUUUGGGGUUGAUAAUGACAUCCACAUAAAUAUUUCAUAACACUCCCCCUUGGAUGUUUAUUAUCUAAUCAUGCCUCGUUAAAACCUUACUAAGAAAAACCCAGUAGGACAAAAACUUAGUGAAGGAAAAAAAGUACAUAAUUAUACGCUUGAUAUGCUGCCUCAUUAAAAACCUUACCUGGAAAACCCAGUGGGAUAAAACCAAGGUUAAGGGAAAAAGAGUACAGCGCGUAUUAACUCCCCUAAUGGCUACAUCACUUGAGAUCUCGAAGGUGACGCAUUCCAAUGUAGUAAACAAGCUUCUGAAACACUGAUGUAGGAAGUGCCUUAGUGAAUAAAUCUGCUAAAUUCUCACUUGAACUGAUCUGCUUAACUUUUAUCUCCUUAAUCUUCUAGAGGUCAUGAGUGAAGAAGAAUUUUGGUGCAAUGUGUUUUGUUCUGUCACCUUUGAUGUAUCCACUAUCGAGCUGAUCAAUGCAUGUUGUGUUGUCUUCAAACAAGACAGUUGUAGCUUCCUUUCCAGAUGAUAAACCACAAUUAUUCCUUAUAUGCUGGAUCAUAGAUCUUAGCCAUACACAUUCACGACUUGCUUCAUAGAUUGCUAAGAUUUCUGCAUGAUUAGACGAGGUUGCUGCAAUUGUUUGCUUCAUUGAGUGCCAAGAGAUUGCAGUACCUCCAUAUGUAAAAACAUAUCCAGUUUGUGAUUUUCCAUUAUGAGGAUCUGACAUAAAUCCUGCAUCUGCAAAACCAAUCAACUCUGUCUUUGAUUUAUUAGGGAAAAAUAGACCCAUAUUCUUUGUGCCUUGGAGAUAACGAAAUAUCUGUUUUACUCCAUUCCAAUGUCUCUGAGUAGGGCAUGAGUUAAAUCUUGCUAGCAAAUUUACAGAAAAAGAUAUAUCAGGUCCGAUAUGGCUAGCAAGAUACAUUAAUGCCCCAAUUGCAUUGAGGUAUGACACUUCAGGACCAAGAAAAUCUUCACUAUCUUCCCGAUGACGGAAAAGGUCUUUACUUGGAUCAAGUGAUCUUACAAUCAUCGGGGUAGUUAUGGGAUGUGCCUUAUCCAUAUAAAAUCUCUUUAGCACAUUUUCAAUAUACGUUGAUUGAUGCACAAGGAUUUCUUUUUUUAGGUGCUUAAUUUGUAACCCCAAACAAAAUUUCGUUCUUCCAAGGUCUUUCAUUUCAAAUUCUUUCUUCAAGCAUCAACAGUCUUUUGGAUCUCUUCAGGAGUUCCAAUGAUAUUCAAAUCAUCAACAUAUACUGCAAUAAUUACAUAUCCAGAUCCAAACUUCUUAAUGAAAAUGCAUGGGCAAAUUGGAUCAUUCUUGUAUCCUUCUUUCAACAAAUACUCGCUUAGGCGAUUAUACCACAUGCGUCCGGAUUGUUUCAAUCCAUAAAGGGAUUUGUGUAAUUUGAUCGAAUAAUGUUCUUUAGAACCUGAACUCACUACUUCAGGCAGUUUAAAUCCUUCAGGGAGUUUCAUAUAAAUGUUAGUAUCCAGUGGGCCAUACAAAUAAGUUGUUACUACAUCCAUUAGGCGUAAAUCAAGCCCUUCUCUUAUAGCCAAACUUAUCAAAAAUCUAAAUGUAGUUGCAUCCACCACAGGAGGAUAUGUCUCCUCAUAAUCAAUUCCAAGUCUUUGUGAGAAUUCUUGUGCAACUAAACGUGCUUUAUACCUUACAAUUUCACUCUUUUCAUUUCUUUUACGCACAAAAACCCAUUUAUAUCCCACUGGUUUCACACCUGUAGGUAUACGGACUACAGGUUCAAACACUUCUCUUUUCGCUAGCGAUUUCAAUUCAUUUUCAAUUGCUUCUUUCCAUUUUGGCCAAUCAUCUCUUUGUUUACAUUCCUCAAUCGAUUUUGGUUCAUAAUCCUCUUUAUUAUUUAUAAAAUCUAAUGCUACAUUGCAUGCAAAAAUAUCAUCGACGUCAAUUUGAUUUCGGUUCCAUUUUAUACCGGACAUGACAUAAUCAAUAGAGAUCUCUUCAUUGUCAAGUACCUGAUUUUCUUCUAAAACUAUUCUUCCAGUCACGUCUAUAGUCUCUUCAGGAGAUCCCGGUAUAAUCAUUUUUUCUUUGAUUUCGCCAUCAUUAAUCUUUUCUCCUUUCUUUUUUCGAGGAUUCUUAUCUUUGGAACUAAUUGGUUUACCACGCUUCAGGCGUGUAUUAGACUCAGUAGCAACUAGAUUUUGUCCUUCUGGGACAUCAAGUUUUAUUGGAGCAUUCACAGCUGGUAUAUGUGACUUAGUCACUUUCUUUGGGUCAGAAAAUGCGUCUGGCAAUUCAUUAGCUAAACUUUGUAAAUGAAUAAUCUUUUGAACUUCUAAAUCACAUUGCUUAGUUCGAGGAUCAAGAUGAGCUAAUGACAACUCUUUCCAACUAAUUUUCUUAUCCAGCUGUUUGAUUUCUCCCCCUAAUGUUGGAAAAAUUGACUUGUCAAAAUGACAAUCUGCAAAACGAGCCGUAAAUAGAUUCCCUGUAGAUGGUUCUAGAUAUUUAAUUAUGGAUAGGGAUUCAAAUCCAACAUAUAUACCCAACCUUCUUUGAUGUCCCAUCUUAGUUCUAUGUGGUAGAGCAAUUGGAACAUAUACGGCACAUCCAAAUAUUCUUAGAUGGGAAAUAUUUGGUUCCUGACCAUGAACUAUUUGUAAGGGGGAGACUUUAUGAUAACUUGUUGGCCUGAUGCGAAUUAAUGCAGUUGCAUGUAAAAUUGCAUGCCCCCAAGCAGUGAUUGGGAGUUUUGACUUCAUAAGUAAUAGCCUUGCUAUCAAUUGAAGUCGUUUUAUUAAAGAUUCUGCUAGACCAUUUUGUGUGUGAACAUGAGCUACAGGAUGUUCAACACUUAUUCCAAUGGACAUGCAAUAGUUAUUAAAAGACUGAUAAGUAACUUCACCAGUAUUAUCAAGACGGAUGGUCUUAAUAGGAAAAUCUGGGAAAUGGGCUCGUAAUUGAAUCAAUUGAGCAAGCAAUCUCGCAAACGUCAGGUUGCGAGUUGAUAACAAAGAUACAUGAGACCAUCUACUCGAUGCAUCGAUUAAAUCCAUAAAGUACCUAAAUGGUCCACAUGGGGGAUGUACAGGCCCACAUAUAUCCCCUUGAAUUCACUCAAGAAAAGUAAGUGGUUCGUUAUUUAUCUUAGCUGGUGAUGGUCGGAUUAUUAUUUUCCCCAGUGAACAUGCAGCACAUGUAAUGUUUUGAAGAAUCUGCUGGCUCUUCAAUGAAUUUCCACAUGAAUUUUCAAUUAUUUUUUGCAUCAUUAUUAAACCGGGAUGGCCUAACCGGUCAUGCCAAAGAACAAAGUCAUUAGUAAACUUCUGGUUUACUAUAGCAUGUGUUUCUAUAGAACUGAUCUUUGUGUAGUACAAACCAGUAAAGAAUGCAGGCAAUUUCUCAACAAUUUGUUUAUUGCCUUGAACAAUACUCGUAAUUUGAAGGAAUUCACAAUUUCCUUCGUUUAAAGUCUCAAUAUGAUAUCCAUUUUGGCGAAUAUCUUUAAAACUCAAUAAAUUUCUUUGAGACUUAGGGGAGUAUAAUGCAUUAAUAAUUUCAAUUUUUGUUCCCCUUGGUAAUAAAAUAAUUGCUCUUUCGGAGCCUUCUAUAAUAGUUGUACUACCAGAUAUAAUGCUCACACUUUCUUCUUUCAUUAUUAAAUGAGAAAAAUAUCUCUUGUCUUUCAAUAUGGUGUGAGUAGUUGCACUGUCUGCUAGACAUAUAUUUUCACCAUUCAUAGCUGAUUGCUUUUGCGAGAUAAUGUACUUCAAAGAAACAAAAUAACCACAAAAUGUCACACAUAAUGGUGAAAACAGGUAUUCAAAGUUCAAAUUACUAAAAGGUCUAUAAAACAAAAUUAUCACAUAAAACAUAGCACUAGUAAAGGUCAUAACAUCAUUAUUAAAGUUGCUAAAUGAAACAUAGAGUAGUAGAGGUUUAUUUUAUUAUUUAUCGAAAUUUGUGGCCUUAAUAAUUUCCUUCAGGGGUAGAAAGAAAAUCAGCCACUUCUAAGUGGGUUGCAUUGCCAUUAUCAAAAUCACCUUCGCCAUCUUUAUACACAAGAUUGGUUUCUACUUUCUUUCCCUUCUGUUUUAUGGACUGCUGAUAAAGAUCAACUAGAUACUUUUGUGUGCGACACACACGAGACCAAUGUCCUUUUCCUCCACAACGAUAGCAUACAUUAGUCACAUUUUCACCUUUUUCUUUCUCUUCCCUGUUACCAUUUUUCCGAUCCCACUUGUGACAAUCCUAAAUUGACCCUAGUAGGGAAGUGGUUUCGGGACCACAAAACCUAGUUAAAAAUUUUGUAAAAUAUUAAUUUCAGUGUUUUUGUUAUGUGAAUUACCUAUUGUGAAAGUUGGGUGGUCUAAUUUAGUUAAUUGGAUGCUAACUUAUUUAGUUGGGAUUUGAUUGUAUAAAGGAAAAUUUUAGAAGUCUUUUUCUUAAAGUGGCCAAUUGUUAACAUGACUAAAAUGUGGGGCUUGCAUGUCAAUUAGACCCCUUUUAUUUUAGUGGAUGGCAAUGAUGAAGGGAAAUUUGUAUCUUUGUGCUUUUUAAAUUAGUAAAAUAAUGAUAAUUGGUUUUAUAAUAUGAAAUGAAUAUAAAUAUUAUAAUGAACACAUGGUGAUAAAAACAAAGCUAUAUGUUAUUUCUUCUCACCUUUGCCGAGAAUAAAGAAAGAAACUAAGGAAAGAAGGCUUUGGAUAAUCGACCAUGGAGGUCUAAAAUUCAAGGUAAUUUCUUGAUUAUUUGAGCUUCAUCUUGAUGAAUUGAGUUCCUUGCUUGGUACCCUCCUUGACCCAUGUUUCUACUUAUUUUAUCUUUGAAAGUGAUGUCUUGGGAACAUUCGGUUAUAGGGGGAGUUUUGAAUGUGAAAGCUGUAGUAGAAAUGGAAUUUGGAGUGUUUAAUGGACUCCAUGUUGCUAAAAUUUACAUGAAUAGAAAUUUCUAAGUUUAAAUUGUAAGAAUUUAAGUUGUGUGGUUUAAAUUGUCAAAGAUGCAUUUGGCAAUUGAUUAUAAUUUGUUAAAGGGUGUAAAGUAUUGAUAGUUCUAAAUGGUACAUAGUUAAAUGAAGAUGGAAGCUUGAUAAAAUUUUAUUAAGAAUGAAAGUAGGAGAAAUGUGUAUUCGGCCAUGUUGUGAUGAGUUGAAUUUGGAUGGUUGAUGCUUUAGUUUAUAAAUGGUCAUUAGAUGAGUUUUAAACUUGUUAAAGUUUGAUAAUUUGGGGGUGUUAAAUUGGGGAAAACGUGUAAUAAAAAUGGGUUGAUAAUGUUUGUUUGUUAAUUGAUGUUUGCACCAUUGUCGAAUGUGCUUAACAUUAAGGCAUGAUUUAGUUAAAUGCAAACUAAUGGAAGAAUGGAAUUUAGCUUUCGCGUACAUGUGUUAAAAUGAUGGAAUUAGUAGGAAAUGGGUAUGAGCUUGUCAAAUUUUUGAAAUUAGGACCUUGUGAACUAAAUGAUAUUCGGCAAUGGUACUUUUUACAUGAGGAAUUCGGUGUUAAUUGUAUUAAAUAAGGUUGAGGUAGUUGCCGAAUGUGUUUAUAAUUAAGUAAGGUUAAUAAUAGAGCAAUGAGUGGCUAGUAGAAUCUAGUUAGUCUUCUUGUUAUAUUCGGCCAUGAGUUUGUAUAAUUGGUUUGUAAUAGAUUAAAUUUUUUUAUUCAAGCUCAAGAGCUUAGGGAGUCUAAUUCGGAUAAGAGAAAAAGCUACCUAACCGAAUAGUCGAUCUGUAAUCGUUCGACAACUUCCGAGGUAAGUUCUUAAGUAUUUGAGUUUGAUUCCUUUGUAAGUUUUAAGUUUUUAAAUGGGAUGAAUAUGAAUUAAGUAUAUACGUUAAGGUCAAUGACUUUUCUAAAUGAUGGCAUAUAUGAUAUUAUGUUUUAAAUAUGUGAAUGAGAACUUUACAGAGUAAAUUUGUAUAAAUCUGCUUGGGACAGCAGCAGUAGUGUGUUUUGGAAAAAUUACCAUAAAUUGUGGGAAUUGAGUUAAAGGCUGAAUAGAUUAUGUAAUUAAAGCUUGAUGCGUCUAGUUUCGUAUAAAAGAAAUCGUGUAAGUAAAGGGGUUGCCGAUAAUGAGAUUUUUUUUAAGUUGUGUGAGACAGAGUCAGAAUGGCUCCGAAAUCCCCUAUCCAGUAUUUGGAAAAUCAUUAUAAAUCGUACAAAAAUGAUUAUAAGAUAAUAUUUAUAUGCUUAGACUCCUUAAUGAGUCUAGUUUCAAAAAAAAAUAAACGAAAACAUAUUUUGAAUUCUGUACAAUGAGAAAUUCAAUUCUUAGUGAAGAGUAGUCAGAAUAGUCAAGCAGUAAAAUAGGGGAAACUUUAAGAAAAAUCUGGUAUUGAUUAGCCAAACCAAAAAUUCUGAAAAUUCUGUGGAUAGAAGAUAUACGAGUCUAUUUUCAUGGAAAAUUAACGGCACAUCAUUUGGAGUUUCGUAGCUCCAGUUACAAAUAAUUUAACGACUGUUGCUCAGGAAAACAGCUUGUAGAGAAUAUGUGAUUAUGUUAUAAACAUUGAUAAAACUUGUUUUAGUUGCUCAUAAGCUAUUGAUUAAACCCAUACGUGAAUUCUAAUUUGUGACAUUAUAAAAUGAUAUAUGAGUGUUAGAUGGAUCUUUGAUAUUAAAAUUGUGAAAUUGUAAGUUUAUAAGUAUUCGAAUAUAAAAUGAUAGUAUGGCUUGAAAUUGAAUUAUUCAUUGGAAAAUGAUAGAUGUAGAUUCAGCCAAGACAAAGUGUAUACACGAAAGUUUAUGUGGUAUAUGAAGUAUAUUUGGAUAAUUGUGAUGUGAAUAUAUGAAAAUUUAUAUUUUGAUUCAGAAUUUUAUGUGAUGAAUGUGAAUGUGUAUAUAUGAGAUAAGGCCGAAUGGCCAAUGUGAUGAACGUGAAAGUGUAUAUAUAUAUUGUGGCCAAAUGACAAACUGUGGAAGGUGUGUUUUCUUAGAUAUUUGAUGAGGCAAAUGAAUUACAAAUAUGAUAGUCGAUGUGAAUACUGUAACAUGUGAAUAAAUAUGCAUGAAACUUUGUGAUGUAAAUCCGGGAUUUAAGACCCGAUGACUAUAUGUGGUGACUAUGUCUGGGUUAAGACCGGCUGACUUCGUCUGGAGAUUUCAUCUGAGCUAAAGGUCUCGCCGAUAAUCCGAGUAGAGUUUAAAGCUAUAAGACUUCGCAAUAAGAAUUGCUUAUAAAUAUAUUCAAUGCGAAAGGUUAAACAGGUAUGUACUCCGAGUUUAUAUGUGAGCUUGAUUUGAACUAAAUCAUAAGGUAGUUAUGUGAUGCAUACGUGAGCAAUCUAUGAGACUAUUCCUAUGAUUAUGUGGCAUCGGAUCAGUGUGAAAGGUUAUGUGAAAUUAUACAAUAUAUCUAUGUUACAUGAGCUCACUUUUAUGUGAAAGUUUAUCUGUCUAUUGUAUAUGAUGAGAUGUUCAUAUUCGGUAAAGGGAUGAUAUACCCAAAGGAAGAGUGAAAUAAAAAUACGAACAACCAUGUUAUAAUUUGAUUGUUAUCUGUUGACACUGCUUAAAACUUACUAAGCAUUGUAAUGCUUACUCCGUUUACUUUGUUUCCUCUGUUUUAUAGAUCUCAUUUGGAAGCUACAGACUCGGGGAUCGUCAGCAACUUGUUACACUAUCACUAUCCACUGCUUUGUACUGUUAUGUUUUGGGUUAUUUUAUGGCAUGUGUAGAAUAGACCAGUGGCAGAAGAAUAUUUUAGUUAACGUAUAUAAGCUAUGCGAAAAUGACGUCUUUUGAAUGUGUACUUAUAGAAGUUUAAAUUGUAUCCCUGGCUGUCUUUAGUAUUUAUCUAAAGGAAUGUUCUUUAUUUCAAAAAAAAAAAUUCAAAAUUUUUACUGUUCUGAUAUGAGUUUCAAGUCCGGCAAUGCCCCUUUACCUAUUCCGGCGACGGAUACGGGAUAGGGGUGUUACACCACUUCUGGUAGGAAUGUGAAUUUUUAAAACGACCACCUCGACCAUAUCCAUAUCUAUGUCCGCGGCCACGCCCACGCCCUCGGCCACGACUACGGCCACACACACUACUAUUUACAUGGUGUGUUUCUUUUAAUUCUUGCCCAUUGUGUAAACUCACAUUCGCUUCAGGGAAUGGAGCAGAGCCAGUUGGGCGUAAUUCAUGGUUUUUCAUUAGCAGCUCAUUGUUUUGCUCCGCCACUAGGAGACAAGAAAUUAAUUCAGAAUAUUUCUGGAAGCCUUUUUCUCGAUAUUGUGUCUGCAGGAUAACAUUAUUUGCAUGGAAAGUUGAGUAUGUUUUUUCUAACAUUUCUGCAUCAGUAAUCUUCUCUCCACAUAAAUUCAAUUGUAAAGUGAUUCUGAACAUGGCCGAGUUAUAAUCACUAACAGACUUAAAGUCUUGCAAUCUUAAAUUCAGCCAUUUAUAACGAGCUUUAGGCAAAAUCACAGUUUUCUGGUGGUCAUAUCUUUCCUUUAGAUUGGCCCAAAGAAUUUAAGGGUCCUUAACAGUCAAAUAUUCGGUCUUUAGACCUUCAUAGAGGUGAUGGCGAAGGAAAAUCAUGGCCUUGGCCUUAUCUUGUGUACUUUCUUCAUUUCCUUCCAUAGUCUCACUAAGACCCUUUGCAUCUAAGUGAAUUUCAGCAUCUAGUACCCAUGAUAAAUAGUUAUUUCCAGUGAUGUCCAGAGCCACAAAUUCGAGUUUUAUAAGAUUUGACAUUAUAAAACUAUAAGACAAAAUAUACAAGUCAAUAAUGUAAAAUAAAGCAUGUUAAUAUGCAAAUGAAAUAACACAUAUGCAAAUGAAAUAGAUCAACUUGUUACCCUUACUUCACCUAAGCGUCCUUCGAUAAUCUUUAAAGAAAAAUUUGUUAGCCUUGAUUUCUUGUAUUAGAGACUCGUGCUGAUAACGUGUUGUGAAAUAAUAAAGAAAGAAUAAACUAAAAUGUGAUAGAAGAAAGAGUGUAGAGAGAAUGUAGAAGAGAGAGUGUACUUCUUUUUAUAUAUUAUUUUUCAUGAGUACAUGAGCCCUAUAUAUAUAGGGGUUAAAAGUAACUCUCUAAUUAUUAUAGGGCAUGUAAAGGGUCAUGACAUUUUAUCUCCCAUAUUAAUGGGGUAUAGGAAAAGUCUCAUAACUUAUGGGGUAUAGGAAGAGUUUUAUAACUUAUGGGGUUAAUAAUGACAUCCACAUAAAUAUUUUAUAACAUAAUCUAAUUUAUGAAAUUAUAGAAAUAUUAUUUUUUAAAUUAUAAUUAAUAUUAAUAUUAUUUCCUUUUCAUAUUUUUAUAUAAUCUUUAAAUGAAAAAAAGUUAAAAAUAAAAUUUUAAGAUUUCAACAUACUUUAAUAAUAUUAAAAUAUAAAAUUGCUACUACUUUACUUAUAUUUAUUAUUGAAUAAUUUUUUAAAAAAAUAUUACAUAUAUAUAUUAUGUAAAAGAUGUUUGAUCAUGUUCGAAGUACAUAAGACUGCUAAUGUAUUUCUUUUGUUUGUUUGUAUUUUUGGCAGUAAAAUUAGACUAGAUUUCACUCAUCUCUCUUUCUGCACCUCUUCUUGAACCCAAAAUUAUUAGUGGAAUUGAGGUUGAUUGUAUGGUAAUGGACAUCUCUAUACCUAACCAAAAAUACGAAUGGUAAAGCUAGAAGCUGCCGCCCAAACGUUUCCAAUCUUCUUUAUCCACACAUGUUUUAGACUAAUACGAAAACGUUGGAAAUAGUAAUAUAAUAAUUAGAAUUAAAUAAUAAAAUAAAAUAAAACAAAAUGUAAAAUGGGGGGCAUUGAUUCGUACGGUGAUAAAAAUUUGCAGUAAGUAACAAGUUUUCUCAUCACGGAAAGAUUCCUCCAUGUCCUGGCAGGCAGCUAAGCCAACCUUAUUAUAUAUAUAAAUAUAUAAAGGCAAAGCCAACGAGCAUAUUUGUUAAUCUUGUUGUCUACUUAGCCAACUCUUUUAUUUAUUCUAUUCUAUUCAAUUCAGUUCAGUUCCGAGCCCUGUUCUGUGUGCGAUGGCAACAACAUCAACGCCACAACCAGAUUCAUCUUCAAAUUUGAGUAUAACAGUGGAAAGCAAUCCUUCCGAUUCAAGACUAUCUGAACUGGGGAUUCAGUCAUGGCCUAAGUAAGUGUGUUUUCAUUCCUAUAUAUGUGUUCUGUAAGUAAUUGAUGAUGAUGGGUGUUUGUGGUUAUGGUAGAUGGGGAUGUCCACCAGGGAAAUAUAUGCUGAAAUUUGAGGCCGAAGAGACAUGUUAUUUGGUGAAAGGGAAAGUGAAGGUGUAUCCAAAAGGGUCGUCUGAAUAUGUAGAGUUUGGAGCAGGUGAUCUUGUCACCAUCCCUCAGGGUCUUAGUUGUACUUGGGAUGUCACCGUCUCUAUUGAUAAACACUAUAAAUUUGCUUCUUCUUCUUCCUCAUAAAUUCUACCAUCUUCUGUACCAUCUCUAAUCUCUCCUUUUCUAACCUUAUCUAUUAAUAUUAUACACUAAAGAGAUUAUCUAAAAUUAGAUUCAACUGUUUCCUUCAAGUAGUAAGUCAUAUGAAUGAUUUUUUUUCUUAAAUGAUUAAUCUAAUGGUCCAAAGUUCAAUUUGGAGUUAAACUCUGACCUCCUUUGAUGGGAUUAAAUAAUUUGUGGAAUUUUUAAAGGUUUUUAGUUUAUGACAUGUGAUGGCCAACAAAGCUUUCUAGAAGCUUACAAACACUAUACCGCUAAUUGAGAAUAAAAUCUCCAAAUAAUAUAUUUUUAAAUUUAUUUAAAAACAUUUAUCAUUAUUCUAAACAUCAAAUAAUAUUAUAUAUUCAAUAAUUAUUUUGUUCAUUAUUAAAAAACUCCACAAACAAAUUUUAAAUAAUAGAAAAUGUUUCCUUUUUAAAAUUAUUUAUUAUACAAAUAAUAUCAUUUUAAAUCUACUUCUGAAGAGAAUUUUGUUAUACACAUAAUUUACAUGCUAGUCGUGACCAAUGAAACCAUGCUCUUCACCAUUACACCUUCGGCAAAAAAUGAAGGUUUUGUCAGACAAAUGAUUUGCAAACACUGCACAAGGCACCCUUAAUUAGCAUAAUCUUGAUUUCUUUUCUCUUCUUCUACCUUUACUUCUACGCAUUUCAAAAUUCUCAGCUUUUUUAUCCGGGUUUUUCAGAAAAUAAGAUAAAAUGUCUUUUCUUUUACGGGUUUUUAGUCCUAUUCCACAAUUUGGAUUUGGGUGCUAAGAAACUUGAAGCUUUUCUCUUACAGUUUAUUAUAAUGGCUAUUUGUUGGCCAUAUCUCUUCACUUGUGAUGUUUCCAUGGGGGAAGUAGCCGUAGAAACACUUCAUUCAAUCAUAUAUAACUCCCAAGUUUUUGAAUCUUUGUUGAUAACGCACACUAGAACUUAGUUCUAAUCACAAGUUUUGCUUUUCUUCAAAUCACUCCAAUGGUUGCCUGAGAUGAGUGAUAGACCUUCUUUUUCUUUUUUUCUUUUUUUUUUUUUUUAUGAUUGGAAGGUAGUAAUCUUGAACUCCAAAACAAAGCAGCACUUCAUUUUACAAGAAGACGUUGAAUAAAUGUUAAUUAUCAAAAUUAUUCCACGUGUUGAUUUUAGAUUGGUGGUGCACAAACUAGGGACAGUCGAUUUUUAUCCUUCUAAAACCCAAAUGAAACGACAAAACCAUAUUACUAAAUGUUGACUUUGCCCGUAAAUUACAUAAUUCAAUUAAAAGAAAUUUUCAAAAUUUAAUUUAAUAUUAAAUUUUUUUUUUGUCUCAAAAAAAUAUUAAUAUUAAAUUUUAUAUCACGAAUCUAGUCUAGUGACUCAAUUCAUUAGUUUAACAUUAUUAUUAAUUUUAAAAUGUAUCUGACUUUUUUUGCAUAAAUAAUUUUGUAUUUAUUAUAUAUUGAAAAAUAUUUUCCACCGUAAAUCUAUUCUCCUAUAAUUAAUUUGAAUGCCCUGAAACAUGCCUGCCCAUUUGCUUUUUUUUUUUUAAAGAAUAGUUCACAAAUUUAAGUUUUAAUUUUUUUUUAUUUUUACAAUUUCAUUAUUUUAAUUUAAAUAAUUAAUAUUUUGAUUAUACUGAUUAAAGUAUUGAUAUUGGAUAGGUGAUUUUAAGAAAAAAUAGAUGCCAACGUUUGCAAUGUCAAUUUUAUAUUAUAUAGUUGAUUUUUUUUAAUGUCAAAAUGUUACUGUAAUAAAUUUAACAGAAAAAUUUUAAUGGUGAUGAUAAUUAGAUUUAAAUUUUUAAAUUUGAAAAAUAAAAAAAAUAAAAUCCUAAAAUAAAAACAGAAAUUAUAUUUCAAAUAUAAAGUUUUGAAACAUAUUUUGACAUUCAAAUAUUUGUUUUUAAAAUUGGCCCAAAAUACAUUAGAAACCAUUUUAUUUAAAAUUAAUUUGGAUGCUUAUAAAAAUAAAAAUACUUUAAAUAGAAUAAUAAAAAUUAAAAAAUUAUAUAUAAUAUUUAAUGUAUUGAUAAUAUAUAAGUCUCAUACACCAUUAAUGAAUAAUAACAUGAUACAUUAUCAUUAAAUUAAAUAAAAAAUAUAACCAACUUAUAAAUAAAUAUUAAUAAUUUUAUUUAAAUAUAAUCAAAUAUUAUAAAUAAAUAUAAAUAAUUCUAAAAUUUAAAAUCUUUUAAGUUUAAAGGUUUAGAUUCUUAAAUCUCGAGCAUAAGAUUUAAAAUUUUAAAUAUAAAAAAUAAAAUUUUAAUAUUGACUUAUAAUUAAUUAUUAUUUAAUUAUGUUUAAAUAAAAAUAUUAAUAUUUAUUUAUAUAUCAUCCACUAUUUUUUAAUUUUAUUUAAUAAUUAAAUCUCGCAUUAUUAUUUAUGAAAUAUUCUCCCUUUUAUUUAUCAAUUCAAUUAAAUGAAACCAAUUUGAGUUAAGAAGAGUAUAGGUAAGCAAAAGGCAGCCUCCGACCAAGAAGGAAGCAGCAAGCAAGGGCAGAGUUUGGGCUCAAUUCAUUGCAAAAUAAAAAAAAUGGAAGAAGCAGAUGAGAUGGUUACGCCAGGAGAGGUAUUAGGAAAAGCCACUGAUCUGAAAGCAGGGAAAGGAGCGUAUGCCGCCUCUCACAACAACACCAUCUACGCUUCCCUUACCGGCUUCCGCCGCAUCCAGGCCCCUCCUCCCGCUUCCAAUGACAAGGUUUUGGGUCUUUUUUUAUUUUUCUUGUUAUUUUUAUGUUCAUCCAUUAAUAAAAAUUCUGGGUUUUAGAUUUAUUAGAGGGUUUUAGCUUAAAUAAAUAUGACCCAUUAUUGUUUUUCCUCGUCUGGUCAUAUGUUGUUUCUCAAAGUAAUUUGUGGGGUUUUAGUUUAGACUACUUUGAACAAUUUUUGCCCACUUUUAAUUACGAUAUUCUUACAAAUAAUGUCGAAGGUUUUAGCUUUAUUAUUUAGGUUUGAUGAAUUAUUCUCUCUUCCCCCCGCCCCCAACCCCACAUUUGGAUGGAAUAUAUUCUUAUAAGUUUAGGUAGGUAUAAUUCAUACUUUUAGACUUUUAAUUGAAUCAGUGCUUUGAGAAUCAAAAUUAAUGUUAUAGAAUGUGUUACUAUUCUGGACAUUUGUACUGAUAAUAAUUUUAUCGUACUCAUUUACAGAGACCAACUGUGGAAGUAACUGGUCACAAAGCCCAUGGUCCUGUUCCAGAACCUGGUUCGGUUGUCAUUGCCCGAGUAAGUUCUAGAUUCAUGUUGUCAAAGAAGCAUUUUGACAUAAAAUCACACUUAAGUUUUUGGUUGAAUGUAUGAUGUUGAUUGCUUGUGCUUCUUUAUAUGUUGCAAGCAUUUAUUUACUUUGUGAUAUCAAAAUGUUUUUUUUAUUUGAAUAAUAGGUUACAAAGGUGAUGGCUAGGACAGCAUCAGCUGAUAUUAUGUGUGUUGGUCCGAAAUCUGUGAGAGAAAAAUUCACUGGUAUAAUUAGGUACAUGAUCUUCUUUUCUCUUUUAUUAGGACUAAGCUCGGAGUUCUCUUCUUUGAAAAUAAUGUAAUUGUUUAACAUUCAGAUAUCGAUUUCAGUCACAAUUACCCGGGAACCGGUUUGCCGAUAAUGAUUGUUAAAUGUUAAAUAUAUCCUUGUUGAACUUGUUACCUGCAAACUUUAUAUAUACCUUCUCCCCUCUUGUUGAAUUUGUUACCUGCAAACUUUAUAUAUACCUUCUCCCCUCUUGUUCUAACAUGAAAGAACUGUUUUCUUUCCUUUAGAAUCACAUGGUUUACUUUGGUUCUAUGAUCCAAAGGCUGUAUACCCAUUUGUUUUUGGGAAAUUCGUUUUCUUUCCUUUAGAAUCACAUGGUUUACUUUGGUUCUAUGAUCCAAAGGCUGUAUACCCAUUUGUUUUUGGGAAAUUCGUUUUUCCUUGUAGCCCAUGAUUCAUUUAAUAAAAAUUAUGUUAGGCAGCUAACGGUUCCAUGCAACCAGGUAUUCAAACCUUAAAUUGAUUGAUGAAAUUCUCCUUGUUUAGCAUAUCCUCGCCGCAUCUGUCUUUUUCUCGAUAUGGAUAUAUUGUCCCAUUGAUAGUGUGUACUGUCUAUUAUAAGUUUAAAAAAUGCCAUUUUCCCAUCACUUUUGAGUUGUAUAGAGUCCAUGAGAUAUUCUAAUGUUUGAUAAAUUUAUAUACUUCUGGCUAGAUGUUGCAAAAGGUAUGUAUUCAUUGAAAGACUGUUUAUUUUAACAGGCAACAGGAUGUUAGAGCUACUGAAAUUGACAAAGUGGAUAUGCAUUUGUCAUUUCGUCCAUUCUAAUGUUUGAUAAAUUUAUGUACUUCUGGCUAGAUGUUGCAAAAGGUAUGUAUUCAUUGAAAGACUGUUUAUUUUAACAGGCAACAGGAUGUUAGAGCUACUGAAAUUGACAAAGUGGAUAUGCAUUUGUCAUUUCGUCCUGGCGAUAUUGUCAGAGCAGUAGUGGUAUCCUUCAUGUUAUAGGAUGUCUUAUUCAUGAAUCGUAACAUUUCAUCCAGUCAGUUGUUAUUUUAGUGAAAUGUAUUGCAAUGUAUUUCGUUUUGUUUAUGCAAAUGGUUUUCCUUAACAUUGCUCCUUUAUUAAGCUGUCUCUUGGAGAUGCACGGGCUUAUUACCUAUCCACGGCUAAGAACGAAUUGGGCGUCGUGUCUGCUGAAAGCUCAGCUGGUAAGAUUGCUCUUCCUUUUCUUUUCUUUUUAACUUUGGCCCGAACCGUAGAUGUUUCUUAUUAGUCCUAUUGGCUUCCUACUGUAUGCAUCCACUAUUGUGUUCAAUGACUACUCGACUUCUGUUUCCAUUGUAUACUAUAGGUGCAACAAUGGUUCCGAUAAGUUGGACUGAGAUGCAGUGCCCAUUGACUGGCCAAAUCGAGCUAAGGAAGGUGGCGAAGGUCGUUAACUAACCCAACUGAUGUCAAGCUAAGCUAGUAGCAGCCUCAAAUGUACUCAAUUUCAAGUUUUGGCUAUUUGUGAAACAUGGUUUUAGGCAAUUUUGUAUCACAAAGCCCUUCCCUCCCUUAUAUGUACCUAUAUUUUUAGGUUUUAACUUUCUUGUUCCGUUUUGUUGAACUAUAUAUUGCUGGAGAAUUUGAAACAUGUUUUCUUUGUGUUUGACUUAUUGAAUGAUAUUCCUUUUAUUUUUCAGAAAGGAAAAUUCCUUUGGUUUUUACUUGUAAUAUGGUAUGGCUACAUAAAUUUCAUGUUGAACCAAAAAGAAAAUUUUCAUGGUGUGCAUAAUGUUAGUAUCCGAAAAUAGGAGUGAGUAAAACUCGAUUCAACUAAAAAAAAUAGAAAAAAAAUUAAAUUUCUAGUUAAACGAAUCGAGUUAUUCGAGUCAAUUCGAAUUCUUUUUCGAAUUUUGAGAUCGAAUUGAGUUUAGUUUUCAAAUUCGAAUAACUCGAAUAAACUAAAUAUCAAACUAUAAUAAUUUAUAUUAUUACCCCAAACUCUUAAAGCUCUUCACUUUCCUCUAAAAAUUUGUACUUCUUCACACUUUUGCUCUCCUCCCAUCCUAUCCCCUUCUACCCUAAACCCAUCCCCCCAUUUUUUUUUAAAUAUUUCCCUUCCAAAAUUUUAGUCCUUCAACCUCUAAAAUUUUUUUAUUUUUCCCCUAAACUUUUAUUUCUCACCUUUUACCCCUAAAUAAAAAAUUAAAAUCAUCAAGAAAAAAAAGUCCUAAACCUAAAUAAUAAUAAUUUUAUUUAUAUUUACUAUUUAUAUUGUUAAAUUAAAUUUCACAUUUUGUAUUAUUUAUAUUAUUGAAUUGUUUUAUCAUAUUGAAUCUUUAUAAUUUUUUUCUAAAAUUGAAUUAUUAGUGAUACCAUAAAAUAUUUGUGUUAAAAUUUUAUAUUGGUAUCAAUUUUAUAUUUUAUCUUUAAGAUAAUUUUAUUAAAAAAUCCUAUUUUUUACAAUUAAUAUAUUUUUAAAUUUCAAAAUACAUAGUGACAAAAAUAAUUAAAUAAUUAAAGCAAUUAAGCAAGUAAAGAAGUAUAAAGAAGUAUUUUCUAAUAUAUUUUUUAAUUUGAUUAUGGUGGACAAAUUUAAUUACAGUGGGUGACAGU
rnacentral:lncRNA from 1 species